rnacentral:lncRNA from 1 species
CCCAUUAAUCUGCAUUAUUAUUUAUCAGUAGAUAUUGCGAAGUGUUCGCGUCAAUCUGCAUGUUACAAACUGCUUCAUUAAUCAUUAUUCAUGUCGAAUAAACAGGUCGCUAGCCCCUGCAUUAUUAUUUAUCUCUAAUACUACUACGCACUCUCAAAUUCUGAAGUAUAUAUACCCUUAUAUUUAUAUAAGAAGGCACGCAUGAACCCAUCACUUCUAGCAGGUGAGGUUGCUCCCCGGGUCGACGCCGAACUGCUGGCAGUACUGCUUGUAGUAGCCCACCCGCGCGUUCAUUUGCGCGGGGUUGUUUCCGUUGCACUCGAGGGCGCCGUUUAUGGCUCUGAUGGUGGCGCCAAACCCCUGUGGCAUCACCCCGUGCACGUUGUUCAUCCAGAACCAGAGCGCCGCCUUGAACGCGAUCACGGCGUCCUGCGCCACGGCGUCCGGGUUCCCGAGCCCGUCGAAGCCGAUGCUCUGUCCUGCCGGCCCGUAGUUGUAGUUCCACGAGAUCUGCAGGGGGCCUCUUCCGUAGUACUUCUGCCCCGCGGCGCACGGCCACUGUGUGUAGCUCGAGUCACAGUAGGCGUUGUCCUUGUUGAUCUCGCUAAUGUAGCAGAAAUCUGCCGUGCAAAUUAUGUUCCAAAUUGAUUAGCAUGAUAUAUGCAGUCAUAUAUAUACAUCCCGUCGAAGAGAGGUUACACACGCGUUUCAAUCAACUUACGUCCGGUCUCGUGUGUGGCGUGAGCGAAGAAGGCGGCGAUCUCGCGCUUGCCGUCGUCCUCCGAGCCGCCCUGGGCGAAGCCGGAGUACGCACUGGCACUGGCAGCGCUCAGGAACGCGUCGCGCGAGUAGAAGUUGCUGCCCUCGCACCCACUUCCGGCCUGGUUCUUGAUGCCGUUGAAGAACGCGUCGGUGACGACGUUACCGACGUUCGCGCCGCUGCCGCUGCCGCUGCUGCCGCCGCUCCCUGUCCCUGUGCAGGGGCCCGACCGGCACCCGGUGCCACAGUACUCGCUGGUCUGGCCGCAGUAGCCAUACUGGCUGCAGCAGAAGUCUGGCUGGCAGCCGCAGUUCUGCGCGGCGGCCGGACCGACAGCGCAGAGGAGCGCUAGCAGCCCGAGAGCCAGAACAGUCAGGAUCGUCGGCGAGCUCGCCAUACUUUACUGAUGAUCUGAGCGUCAGCUCCGGACGAAAAUGCUUCUUUGCUGCGCGGCUGUGAGGUGAUUUGAGAUUGGCAUGCUGGUGUCACCUUAUAUAGAGGUCAGGGCGCGGAUGCCCAACUUCUCGACGUGUGGCGUUCGACGUGCAACCUCAUGUCCGCUUGUGCAACUUGCACCACCGGUCCACCGCUGCCCUUAGCUGCAACGUGGACUUGCGGUUUGGAACUUUGGAGAUACGGUAGCCGCGCAAUUUAUAUUUAAUUAUUUCUUGAUGGAAAUACGUUCUUUCUGGCGAUUUUUCGCGCGUACAAAGACGACUGCCGCCAUCCUGCCCCAGCUGGCAGUGGCACUGGCCGCCGUAUAUCAUCAGUAGAGACUUGCGUUUCCACAACGUAUUAGAAACGGUCAGCCCAGGACGAGAGCUCCAUGAUCGGUGCCGAUGAGAGCGGCCUAAUUUGGAGUACUUUUAUUUCCUUCUCUUAUUUUCUUGGACUCUUGGGUCAUUUUCGUUGAACAGGGAAUGCGCACAUUGGGUCUUGUGCUAAGUAAAGAAGUAUGGGCUCCUUGGUUCGGUACUCAUAUGACGGUAGGGACCCAUAGAUAUUGCACACGACAAGUGUAGACGAGUGUACAAAAUUAUGUAUCUAAGGUGGUGUUGUUAUGGGUACAAAAUUCUACCUGUUAUUAUUUAUCGUCAGUGUGCAGGAGCCGACAGUAAUUUGCUUCACUGCCGAGUCAUAAGUCUAUGAUUUGGACAGUGAUUGGAAUCUUACUGACCCGAUAAAUAUCAUUGCCAGCUCCAGCCAUGAACUGACAAGGACAUAUCAUUAUCAGGUCAGGCCACAACCCUACACUGUGAUAUGUCGCCAAUAUCGAAUCGAUGCUUGACAAUGGCAACGGCAAAACUACAUCACUACCGGUUCUUGAUCGACCCGACAGUGCCCUACUAUUACAGUAUAAAACUUUAGCCAGCUUCUUCCUCCUCCUCCCAUCUCAACUCUCGAGCAUCUUUCCUCGUCUCUCUCUAUUGUUGCCGACAUAUUUCACCAAAAUAUUUAUGAAGGGUUAGUUUCCGAAGAAAGGACAUUUUCUCCUUGCAUUAAGGUGGAUAAUUAGCAAUCCUUUAACUUGUUUUGUUAGUUAUAUUAUUUUUUUAUUGUUAUGCUUGUUGUUUCUCCAUUUUAAAGAGCAUUCUUUCAUAGGAUUCUGCAUGCAUACAUCUGGAUUUUUGGUGAGUCCAUUUUGUACCAGUAACUUAUAGUUACUAUACCUAUGAACCCAUUUAAUUUGUAGCUAGUUCAGUUUGCUUCGUUAUUAGAUUGGUUUUAAUUUUCUAGCAAAUGUGGUAAUAUAGUUUAGUUAGUUCCUUUAGUUUCCCCCAUUUUAGUGUAGAAUGGAAUAGAAUUGUGAAUUGUCCAUGGUCUACCAACUUUUAUAAACCCACAUGAUGUCGGUACUUUGAGGCUAUUAACUAGCAACUCAUUUAGUUUUGGAGUAAUUUGGUUGAUUCUCUAGUAAAUGUGGUGAUUUAAUUGGAGGUCAUCACUGCUGAUUAAUGUCAUAACAAUAUGAUUAACUUCCUAACUAAUGCUCUUAAUUAAUUAGGGGCUCAAGGGCUACACAUAGUAGGUGCGCUCGCACGCCCCUGCUGAAUCUCCUACAACUAAAAAGAACAAAGUGUGGACAAUUUUUGGUGCAACAAAUUUUAGCUGUCUGCCUACCGCCCGUGCGAUCUUUUCUUCCACUUCGCAAAAAGGAAACUCCCGGUCUCCACGCUCUCUGCCCUCCAUGUGAAAAAAGAAACCCGUCCUCGCCUCCCCCUCCCACACCGCGAAACCGCGAGGCCGCCGCCGCACCGAUCGCACGCGGCCAUCCUAGCAUGAAGAACCCCGACGGCGGCCAGUGUUCAACGAGCUGAGGGUCGAUCUCCUACCUAAAUCGAGACGGCGUCGUCUAGCUUCGUGCCGUUCGUAGGCGACGGACAUGUGGAUUUUGUUGUGCUGUCAUGGCGCCCUGCCCCAUUGACGUCCGCUGCCACGACUCAGCCCUACGGUGGCCAACCAUUCCUGCCCACCCCCGCACGCACACACGGGCAAUUGCCUCUCCCGUGCUCUUGCCGUACUUGGUGGCGGGCCCUGGUUGCGGAUCUGGUCGGCGCUCUGCCUCUCCAUCUCCAGCAGCUGUGGCUCCGCUCCACGGUCGGCCUUGCCGGUGCGUGGCCCACGUGGCGACGGCGCAUCACACCUUCCUCUCGCAGGCAGUGGUCGUUCAGCGCAGGCAUCCGCAUGGGGCAUAUCCAGCUGCCAGAAACAAGAAGCCCUGCGUGUUCGGUGCAACAGGCGACCGCACGACUUGGUGUCACCGGCCUCUCCGCAACUCCUCCUCGGCUCUCCGCGACUCUUGAGCUAGCUUUCCUGACUGCCUCCAUCUCCUGUUCCCCAUCCAACUUUAAUGCUCGAUUGCUCUGCUUUGACUUUGAUUUGGUUUCUUCAUUCAGAGGUAAUUCUGUACCUUUAUUUGUGUAUAAGAGAUUUCUCCCCUACUGAUUUGGUUUAUUGGAUCUAAGAUGGACUGGAUUUGGGAGUUCUGAACAGGAGAAACACAUAACCUUGCAUCUUAGGGUGUCCGUCGUGUUCUCCUUUUGCCUCCCCAAAUACCUCUGCCCACACAUCCAGAGACUUCGUACAUGAAGAAGCUUUAGAUCGCAGGGACCUCAUGGUCGGGUGAGUUCGCUUUGGUGUGAACGAUGAUAGAUGUCCGUGCUAUUGGAAGCAACAGCUCCAUCUGAAUCUUGGUCACGUGUUAUUGGAACCAGUCUCACAUCACGUCGCUAGAGACAAGGUGGAAGAUGAGAUGAGCUAGCUCCUUUUGUGAUCUACAAAUUUUCCGAUGAGGUUGUCUGUACAUACGUUUUUUUUUCAAAACUGAUGUUGAUUUGCAUCAAAAUCUGACAUUCUGACAAUGGUAUAUUUCUGCGCCGCGCAUGAAUUUGAUUUCCGGAUGCAGUUUGCACAACCAUAACAAUUCAAGGCACUGUGUUCGUUGCAUCCGUAAUAAUUCAAGGUAUUGUUCAUUUUUCUCCCCUUGUUUCUAUUACACAUAUACUGUUUGUUAUAAUAUUUUUAUUGGGUCUCUCGUAUCCUCUCUCUUAUCCAAGAUCAUUUGCGGUGAUUUUUCGCCAUUAGCUUCUUUCUGGUGUUCCUGUAUUCUGGAAGAAGCUUGUGAGUGUAUUAGCUUUAUUUUUUCCGAUAGGCUACAAAAUGACAGUAAUAUGUUUUAUUUUCGUCCUAGAUAUAGGUACCGUGGUUGAUUCUCAUGUUAGUCAAGAUACUGAAUUUGAUUUAUACAUGUUACCUAUGCUGGCAUUUAGAAUGGUGUCCCUACAUAAUUGUUGAAAUCCAUUUAUUAUAGUAGAGACUACACUAUACGAUGGAAUGGUCCGAUUCAUGAUUCAGACUCUUUGCCACGAACAAGCAGUACCUAUCUUUAUCAUGUUUUGUGGGACGUGAACAUUUUUGCGGUUGAUAGUGGUUAAAAAAUUCAAGCAAUUUUAGUUUGCAAGUUGCAGGUAGUUUUCAACAGUUGUGAUACUCUUAAUUCCUUUUGAACUAACUUUGAGUGUGUCUGCAAUUACUUGGCUAUAGAUCAACUUUAAAUUUAUACUUUUUAGGAUCUGUGCAUUCAUUGUUGCUACCUGAAUGACAAUUAAUAUAGUGACUUAAACUUUCUGGCACAAACAAUGGCACCACCUUCAUGGAAACUUUAUUUUUUUAUAAGCAUUCUCCUUUCAACUUGUAAUUUGAGCUGCAAUUUUUUUCCUGUGGUUCGUGGUUGCAGUGAUGGCUAGGCAACAGGAAGAAUAACCUAUGUCACAUUCAAAGACAUAUGCACUCAUAUGGAAGGAAUACAUUUUUUUGAUAAAGGUAGUUAUUCACUCUGGCUUUGUUCUAAUUGGAGGUUGCCACAAAAUAUGAGUUCUGAUCCACCUUAUUAUGGACAACUAUGACACCUUAUUAUGGAUCCACCUACAGUAUUGUUAUCUUAUUAUGCGAUAUGUAUUUUAAAUAUAAAAUGUUAACUAUCCCGUAGCAACGCACGGGCACGCUACCUAGUAAUAGGAAAACUCGAGAUGGCCCUCUCCAAAAGUGGCACGAACACCUGGAAGAAGCGCCUCAAGUGAGCCUAUGACCGAGCCCCCAUGCUUAGGGGUUCAAGAAGUCUCUGAGUAUUGUCGACCUUGAACAACAACAACCAACCAAAGAAGGCUAGGAACCGUGGACCAUCAUGGCGACAUAGGCAAUCUUCCGCUAGGCUUUAACAGAAGCCCAGAGCCUAACAAGCAGACAUAUCCACAAUGCUCCAUGCCCUAUAGGAGCUCUGUCUCCAUGUCCACAUGAGGCUAUGUCGGCCACUCCCAAUUCAGUGGCACGCCCAAGGCAUGACACAACACGACAAGGGUGUGUGCAUCACCUAUGCAUGAGGAAGAAAAUGGGAUCAUAGGCCCUUCGAUCAAUCUAUCCUAAGGAAAUGCUCAUGCCUUUGGUGCACAACCCAUGCCAUGAAGAGGGAUGAACUUAGGUAAGACACAACGAUAUUUCCUGGUUCAGACAAGCAACUCUAGGCUCCUGCAAGUGAUGUCAGGGACAACACAGCAGUGUCGUCCACGACCACUAGAGAAGACGACAUCAGACACCUCUAACAACUCAAAGAUUAUGAUUUUAAAUUGUAACACUACCAUGUUGAACAAGGGAACCCCAGGAACUCCUUUACUCUUCUUGUCCUCCAAAAUAUAGGUAGGGGAGAGGCCCCUUAGAGGAGGAUGAAUCCAAGAGAGAACCCUAGAUCGGAACUAGCUAGCACUCUCCUACCAUCUUUCUCUCUUCCAAUGUAAGCACUUGCUUGACAAUUCUAACAUGAAUAACUUAUUGCUGGACAUAAAGGUCGUGUGCUAAACCACCCGAAUCUCACACAUCGACCCAUCGAUCAAUCUACUAAUCACUCGUCGUGGUUACGAACCCACAAUAGUCACCUUUCAUAAAAUGAGGGUAUCAACCCCUUUAAAUUUGUUUCUUGUUAAUUUCAUUCAUAAGCUUGCUAUGGGAUUUGAUAUUUAGUAUUAUGGGACAUUCAUUAUUCACAAAACUAGUGAGGGAUAAUCCUUAUCUAGGCGUUUACUCCUUUAUCUAGGUGGUCAAAACUCAUGUCGCAUAUAAUCCACAAGAUGAAGGCUACGUGCACUGCCCAUGGAGUGAUUGCAAGAAUUAGAGGUAAUUUUGCAACCACAAGAAGAUAUGAUCUCAAUUGAUAAUCACAGUUUCAAGACUGCAAGAUGUGGACUAAGCAUGGGGAUAGUGUGAGAAUGUAGUGGAUGACCAAGGCGAUGGUGAUGACAGCAUGCCUGAUUCUGUUGAGGAAACAAGUGUCAACUAGAAAGAGGUGGUUAACGAGGAAACAUGUGUCAAUAGAGAAGAUGUUGUUAACAAUGUUUUUAGAAAAUAGUUAGUUGAUACCAUGGAAGACGGCCUUUAUAAGAUGUUGCAUGAUGAGAAACCAAGAUUCUUUAGUCCAAAAUAUUUGAAAAGACCGUUGUACUCGAGUUGCAAACUAAGCAAAUUGGAAGUUGACCUCAUGCUAUUGGAACUGAAAUGUAUUCAUAUAGUUUGUUUGAUAAAAGCUUUGGAGAUUUAUUAUGUAUGCUGAAGAAAUUGGACACGGUCCCUAAUGAGUUAAUUAACAAGUAUAACAUAUGAGGACAACCAAAUGGGAUAUACCCAUUCAACCUCGAAGUUGAGAAAAAACAUAUGUACCAAUGAUUGUAUAUUUUGGCCUUGUUUAGUUCGCAAAAACUUUUGGCUUUGGCUACUGUAGCAAUUUUGUUUGUAUUUAACAAUUAUUGUCUAAUCAUGGACUAACUAGUCUUAAAAGAUUCGUCUCAUAAAUUACAGGCAAAUUGUGCAAUUAGUUUUUAUUUUUAUCUAUUUUAAUGAUUCAUGCAUGCGUCCAAAGAUUCAAUAUGACAGAGAAUCUUGAAAUUUUUUUUGGAAACAACCAUUGCUUUAUCUUGGAGAUGAAUAGAAAGACAUGGAUGUUUGCCCAAAGUGUGAAGCUUCACCGUACAAGCAGGUCAUGGCAAACGAUGGUUGUCCGACCAAAGAGACUAAACAAAAGUCGCUUGGGUCGCUUGGGUCGCUUGGUAUUUCCCUACAUUCCAUCUCUAUUUGGCUCUAGUUUCAUCAGUAGUAGUAUUAUACUUCGCGCAAUCCACUACAUUGAUACGAUUGUAGAUAAAACCAAGUGAUUAUGCUGAUAUGAUUAAGAGAUUACUCUUUCUUUGCAAGUAUGAUUAAGAGAUACUCGUGUUCAUACUGAAUAGGAUUAAAAUUGAGGUGAUUAUAUAGCACUUGUGUUGUCGUCGAAGUCACUUGACUUUCUAAGUAGAUAGGAUCAAGUGACACAAAUUAACAUAAUAUAAUCUGCAUAUUACGAAUUGCAUCAUUAUUCUUGUCUAAUAAACAGGUCGUGAGCCCCUGCAUUUUUACUACCGGUAUUACGUACUCUCAAACUCUAAGGUUUCUUCACCACAGCCGACUGCGUGACGCCGAGUAUUUAUACUUGUCGAGCCAAGAACACAUGCAUAAACCCAACACUUCUAGCAGGUGAGACUGUUCCCCGGGUCGACGCCGAACUGCUGGCAGUACUGCUUGUAGUAGCCCACCCGCGCGUUCAUUUGCGCAGGGUUGUUUCCGUUGCACUCGAGGGCGCCGUCGAUGGCCCUGAUGGUGGCGCCGAACCCUUGCGGCAUCACCCCGUGCACGUUGUUCAUCCAGAACCAGAGCGCCGUCUUGAACGCGAUCACGGGGUCCUGCGCCACCAUGUCCGGGUUCCCGAGCCCGUCGAAGCCGAUCUCCCUCCCGGCAGGACCGUAGUUGUAGUUCCACGAGAUCUGCAGCGGGCCGCGCCCGUAGUACUUCUUCCCCGGGGCGCACGGCCAUUGUGCGUUGCUCGAGUUGCAGUAGGCGCUGUUCUCGUUGAUCUCGCUUAUGUAGCAGAGAUCUGUCGGCAUCAAGCUAUUAGUCAUACAUGCAUCACCCCGCACAAGGGAAAUUACACUCUGCAGUUAGUGGAGGAUCCAUGAACUUACGUCGGGUCUCGUGCGUGACGUGCGCGAAGAAGGCGGCGAUCUCGCGCUUGCCGUCGGCUUCCGUGCCGCCAUGGGCGAAGGCGGGGUACGAGCUGCUGGCAGCGCGCAGGAACGCCCUCCGCGAGUAGAAGUUACUGCCCUCGCACCCGCUCCCGGCCUGGGACUUGAUGCCGUUGAAAAAUGCGUCGGUGACGACGCCGCUUACGUUCGCGCCGCUGCUACCGCCGGAUCCCGUGCAGGGGCCGGACUGGCACGUGUUGCCGUUGCAGUAGUCGAAGCUCGUGCCGCAGUAACCGAACUGGCUGCAGCAGUAGCCUGGCGGGCAGCUGCAGUUCUGCGCGGUGGCCGGACCUGCGGCGCUGAGGAGCGCUAGCCCGAGAGCCAGAACCGUCAGCAUCGUUGGCGAGUUUGGCAUACUGAUCGACGAUCAGAUCCUGCGGAAAAUUAAGUUCCGUUGCCGCGGUGCAGCUGGCAUGCUGGGGACUGGUUGCCUUAUAUAUAUACCUGCCAACUAUCAAAUGGUCCCAUCUUCUCGAUGCAUGGCGCUUUCCACGUUUGGAGUAUACUUGUGAGUUGUGACUUGUGUCACCUCUGUCGAUCAACACGACACGUUAGUAUCAGCGUUGUCCUUUGUGGUCGUUUUUGGCGUCUACGAACGAAGACGAUUGCUGUUAUCGUGCAUUUUCCUGCUGCCGGAGCUGGCACUGGCCGCCGUAUAUUGCUGCCUAGUACUAGGACAAAGGAUCAGGCAUGUGCAAACUUAUAGCAUAGACUUGCGUGUUCCAAAAUUUAAAGAAACGGUCAUGCCAGGAAGAUACUUCAAAGAUCGGUGCCGCAUUCCGGUGAUAGCGGCGGCCUAGUUUGGACUUUUCUCUUCUUUUCUUGCCUUGGACUCUUGGGCAGUUUUUGUUGAUGAGCCCUUGUUCAGUUAAUCUCUUAUCUAAGGGGAUUAGAGAAGAUUAAGGCUCCGACAAACCUUUCCUUUUCCAAAUUUAUAGUAUGGAUGAAUAGUUCCAGUUCGAAAUGGCUUGUUAUGGAACAACCGAACGUGGCCUAAGGGCUCGCUCGUUUGGCCCGGAACAGAGGUCAGGAACCAUUCCGGCUAGAAGUUUAUACAAAUUAGAGAGGCAAUCCUGUCUGAAUUAGUUCUAGGCCAAGGUUAUCCAGGAACCAAACAGCCUCUAAGGCUGCAUUCAGUUGUUAUGAAUUGGUGUUCUGGAAACAUUCCAACUAGUAUUGCUAGUGCAACUUAUAACCAGUGUUUACCAGGGACAAUCCCUACCUAGAUUUACCCCUAACCGGACGAGCCUUAAAGAGAAUUGAGAAAACUGUUGGAGACAAGAACUAUAUUUAGCAUCAGCAUGCCUAGAUUAGCUAGUUAGCUCAGUCAACCUGCGCCCGCGUCAUGAGCAAUGCCAGAGCUCUGCAUGUCGAGGCAGCACGGUGCUCGGCGCCCUGCGCGGUCAGCCGCAGCUCCACCCUGUGUAACCUGUAUAUGUACUUGUCAAUGAACAUGAAUGGAACUCGUUGGCUAAAGUUCGCCAACGCUGCAGCAGAGUGCAUCUGGCUUCGACAGCUCCUGGGCGAGCUCGGCUGCGUCACACACAAGGCCACCGUCAUAUUUUGCGACAAUAUCUCUGCGAUCUACAUGUCUUCCAACCCGGUACAUCACAAACGUACCAAACACAUCGAGCUGGAUAUGCACUUCGUCCGUGAACGUGUUCAAUUUGGAGAGAUCCGUGUGCUUCAUGUCCCUACUGGCGAACAAUAUGCCGAUGUGCUCACCAAAGGCCUUCCCACCUCUACGUUCGAGGCCUUCCGAAACAGUCUCUGUGUGUUUCCAACUCACAUUCGACUGCGGGGGGUGUUGGAGACAAGAACUAUAUUUAGCAUCAGCAUGCCUAGAUUAGCUAGUUAGCUCAGUCAGCCUGUGCCCGCGUCAUGAGCAAUGCCAGAGCUCUGCAUGUCGAGGCAGCACGGUGCUUGGUGCCCUACGCGGUCAGCCGCAGCUCCACCCUGUGUAACCUGUAUAUGUACUUGUCAAUGAACAUGAAUGGAACUCGUUGGCUCCGGUUCUCAUUUUCUACAAAAACAUUUGACUUGCAGAGAAUUGACUUUUUUUUGGAAUUUAUUUGGAUACACUUUGAUCCACAGGUGUGUUGAGGGGAACUAAGGUGGAAAAUUAGAUAGUUUUCCACGCUAAUGCCCCUUAACCUACGUGGAUUGUGGUGAGUUAGAGUGCAUUUAAAUAAGCCCUCAAUCCUUUUAUAUUGUAGCUAACCGAAGUCCUAUGACAAAAAAAAAUCCAUGGAUUUUUCUCAAAUCAAAGGAAAAAAAAAAGCUCCAUGAACCUUGUGCUAAAUAAAGAUGUAAUGGCCUUCGCGGGUGGGUAGGGUCACUGGCUCACUGCUACCCACGAAGGCAUGUCAAAGCUUGGAGCUCAGUGACUCAAAAAAAAAACUGGAUCCUAGUUGGGCCUGUCUGUAACUGGUCAUCAAGGCCCAUAUCAUCUGGAUGGCCCAGAAAUUUGGUGUCCCUGGACAUGCGGCCGGCCACCCACAUUUUUGGUUGGGCCAGGUUGGCCUGAUUCCAAAGAGUCUGCGACUUGCUAUUGAGCAGCAGCAGAAACCGUGCCAAACCGCGCAGUAGAUGUGCAUCCUCUCCAGCAUUCGUGUAAGCUGAUUUCUACUUGUGGCUCCUCCCUCUGCUUUUGUUUAGCUGUUGUCGCCUACUACUUGCCACCGCGUACGCGCCUGUGUGUUUCUUUGUGCUGGUACUGUCUCUCCUUGAGGCCUUGUUUAGUUUGCAAAAAAUUUUGUUUUUGGCUACUGUAGUAUUUCGUUUUUAUUUGACAAAUAUUGUCCAAUCACGGAGUAACUAGGCUUAAAAAAUUUAUCUCACAAAUUACAGAUAAACUGUACAAUUAGUUUUUAUUUUCGUCUAUAUUUAAUGCUCCAUGCAUGCGACUAAAGAUUUGAUGUGACGAAGAAUCUUAAAAAUUUCGGCAUGUCUAGCGCCCAGACGUCCGGCUCUAGUCCUACGUCCGGACGCGACUUCUGUUUGCCCGCACCCACUUCAAUCGCGAGCGUACGUUUUUCAAUAAAAAACCCGCACCGCACGCAACCACGCCCAUCGACCAUCCCUCGUUCGUACGGAGCCAGGGCUCGCCCAUCACGUCGUCCACCGUCCAUCCCUCAUCCGUACGGACGCCCUGCUGGCUCGCCCAUUGCACCCACCGCCCAUCCCUUGUCUGUACGGACGCCCUGCUGGCUCACCCAUUGUGUCCACCGCUCAUCCCUCGUUCCGUACAGAUGCCCUGCUGGCUCGCUCAUCGCGUCCAUCGCCCAUCCCUCGUCCGUACGGAUGCCCUGCCGGCUCCAGAAGAGAUGACGCAGCACAAGGUGGAAGAAGGAAAAGAUGCAACACCCCAAUCUAAUUUUGAAACAUCCAAACUUAAUAGUUGCAACAUAGCCUAAAAGUAGUUGAAACACUUGAAACACGCUUAUGAAACACUUAGAAAACACACCUGAAACACACUUGAAAAUCCAUUGCUACCAUAUGCAACAUUCGAAUAGAACACAUGCAAACAUAUGUGUAGAACAUCUGCAAUAUCAAAUAAACACAAUUACAACAUGCAUUCGGAAAACACAAAUGAAACAUUACCGCUGAAAUAUCUGAAACACUCGAAACAAUACUACUGCAACAUGACUCUUAAACGAUUGCAACAUAUGCAACAAGUGCAACAUCCCCCGAUCUACUUUUGCAACAUCCGUAUGAUUCAACUUCAACAUGUCUCUGAAGCGAUUGAAACAAUUGAAACGUAGAACUGCAACAUGGAGAGAGAGAGAGAGAGAGAGCUUGACGUGGGGAGUACCAUGGCCACGAGGAUAGGGGGAGCUCGGGUCACAGAGUGUGAGAGAUGAUGCCACUAGGACUAGGGAGGAUGCCGAGCGAGGGUGGGGAAGAGUGUCGCGCUAGGUUCAGCGGCUUCUGGUGGGAGAGGAUGCCACGCCAGGGGAGGAUGUUGUGCUAGGGGAGGGUGCUGGGGGAGAGGGAGGACGGCAGGGGAGACACUGGGGCGAGAGAAGGACGCCGCGCCUUGACUCGUUGGGGGUGGAGGGCGCCGCGCUUGGGGUGGGGAAGGGCACCGCACGCAUCAGCGAGGGUGGAAGGGCAACAUGCGUGGGUAGAGUGUGGGAGAGGGCAUCGCACCAGGCUGGGUUGAAUCCUCUGGAGUUCGAGGAACGAAGGCGGCGGCUGUUAUUUUAAGAGGAAGAGUAGAGUCGAGUGGAUAAGGAUGCACCGCAUACGGAUGGAGCACGAUCAGCGGAAAAGAAAAGGGGCAGAGUGCGCGCGGUCUGUCCGGCGUGGACGGACGUCCGUCCUCGAUCAUUACCGUAAAAAUUUUUGCGAACUAAACAAGGCCUGAGAAUAUUUUGUGAAUAACUACUUGCAGAUUUCUGCACAGAAGAAUCCUAUCCCAACUCCCGGAAAGCAGACGAACGAGAUUGUGACAGCUACCAAGUGCUGCCAUCACUGCAAAUCGAUUCCAUUCCAACCCCACCCCAUCAUGUGAGCCCGCCAACCUGAUCAAGCACCCAUUCCGAUUGAACUGAAAAGAAAUUUCCAGAUAGCGUAUCCUGUCAUCAGAGAAGAAAACGCCUGAUCAAGUACCGGUAGUACACUCCGGCGCGAAUACAGAGCCGACACGAGUAAUUAAGCACCGCACUUGCUCUUGCUCCCCGUAAUCACCGAGAUCGCAAAAACUAAUCGCCGACGAAGACCGAUCUCCCAAGCCAUCGGCGCGACCGCGCGAGCAGGCGCUCCGCCUCCGCCACGUACACCCUCCCCUGCUGCCCAAACGGCCGAUCGAUCGGGGGAACAGGCCGCAGAGGAAUCCUUCGGUUCCAACGGCCAGGCAGCAAGCCGCAGGCGCAGCAGGGCCCCGCCACAUGACCCACACGCACCAGGUCGAGAGGGUUACCACCCCCAGAUGCUGCCUGCCGGCUGCCACAUUCGAGUCAGGCGGGGCGCAUGGCCUUCUCAUCUCGUGCGCGUGCGCGCGCGCCGACCCGCCGCGUUCCGCGGCGCCCGAUCGAUCGGAGGUGUACUCCGUUGCGCGAGCCGCGGACGCAUGCAUGCAGAUGCAGGGCGGGCGCCGGCCUCGCCUAUAAGUGGAACGGCACCGGUCCGGUUGGGUUCGUGUCCCGGGUCAGCACCCGCUCGAGAGUUUAUACCAGUUUCCAGCAUGCUCUACGUACGAGGUUACGAGGGGAGGGGAUACCCGGAGAUGGCGAUCGGUAAGCGGAGCGUGCACGGCGCCGCGCUGGUCCUGCUGCUGGUGGUCUGCGUCGCGGCGCGGGCUGUCUCGGCCGUCGGCGAUGGUGAGAGCCCUUCAACCGAAGCUGAUGCAUUAUUACUUGUUCCUCGCUGCGUGACUGAUUAGCUGGUCAAACGUAUUAGCAGCAUUAUUGUUGCAACUACCGGGCUCGAUCUGGUAGUUGCCCUAGCACGAGAGAUCUUCAUCUUUUGUUGCCAUAUCCCUCUAGCUAACACUGGCAUUAUGUUGAGAUGAGAUGCGGUUAGCUGUUCGAUCAUCGCUGUUGCUGAUAUAGUGAUAUCGCCACUAAUGUUUUAAGUUGUUUAGUACCAGGGGCGGAGCCAGGAUUUAAACAUAGAAGGGGCCGUGCAAACCAAAAACAAUCAUGUGUAUCAAAAUAUUAUAUGACAAAGGUGUACAUAGCACCAAAUUAAACGUUUGUGUUGCGAUGCAAAAAGCAGAAAAAAUAAAAAAUAAUAAAAGAGAAAUUUAACUAGUCUCAGGCCUCUAACCUUCACUUUGAUCAUUCUAUUUCUUUGCCCAGAAAAAGAAUCACAAUAAAAACAAGUAGUUAAACGGGGGCCAAAUUAAUUAGUACUACAUCCUAACAUCAAAUGACAAACAAUCAGUUACAUAUCGUUUAGUCUUAGACAAAAUGAUCACUUAAACAUGUAAAAAUGGUCAUUUAAAUAGAAGGUUAAACAGAAACACCAUACCACUGUUAGUGUUUAAAAGUUGAGUACAACGGGCUAAAUGAUUGUUUAGAGUUUAGACGAAUAAUGAUAGAAACAUAGGAGAUAAGAAAGAUAAUAGGAAGACUAAUGCUAAAUAAUAUAGAUCCUAUUGUUGGAGAUCAAUUCAGAAGGAUUAAACAAGAAAAACGCUGAUUUUCAAUUAACUAGCUAAUUAGAGUGUGCGGUAGGGGACAAACUGAUGUUUGAUAGGCAAUAAUAAAAAUAAAAGAUAUGAAGAAAAUUUUAGAAAUAUCUAUUUGUAUAAGAAACUAUUAGAGAUUAAUAUAAAAUAAGAAUAAAAAUCUUAAUACAGAUAAUAUCAUUAACUAGCUAAUUAGAUAAUUAAACAUCUAAUCUAUGAGUAUUAAGGGAGUUAUGGGAAGCUUGGGGGGUGCCAGGCCCCCCUCAGCCCCCCUUCCCUCCGCCACUGUUUAGUACUUUAGUGAAAGUACCAACAUUACCCGCACAAAAAUAUGGUUCAACUAUUGUCGCUUUAAGUUAGAGAAGCAUUUUCGUGGCCAUUAUAUUGUUAUGUGUAUUAGAACUUAAUUAGAAGAAGCUUCACGCAUGACAAUAAAGCUGCGUAUUGCUCAGGAAAAUACAAUUGUCUUGGUAUUGCAAGAAAUUUCCUCGUGUUACAUUUAUAAUUCGGUUGAAGUGCUUCCAUCAGGUGACGAUAAAAAAGGUGCAAAUUAGAGUUACAAAGUAGAAAUGGGCUCUGCAUGAAACAUUUCUUUUUCUUAAGCAGCAAACACACGAUAGACAAGAAAAGUUACACCAUAUAUAUUCGCAUUCUUUGAUAAUUUAUCUUCUUGAUUCGAUUCAUGUGAGCUUAAGUGUCAGUUAUUAAAGAAAACUAAUGUGUUGACUUGUCAGUUAAUGCUCCCAAAGAAAUCUGGGUUCUGCUGUCUCACUUGCGUAGGAAUAUGUAAGUCAGAGAAGCUGAACGUUCUGUUUGACUAGCACAAGUAUUUACAAAAGCAGAAUCUCAUCAUGCAUGAUCUGGUUCCCUCCUUAUCUUGUAAGAUCUGCAACGAUUCGUGAUGGGAUGGGAUUUUGUUUGCGGUGAUCAACCACAUGCACACAUCUGCAUUGUGUUGGCUAGCUGAAAUUUUUUCCACUUUUGUGCCGAUAUGUCUGCUGAUGCUGAAUCAUGCUUGGGACAGUGCACGUUAACCGACAUGAAGCCAUCAUGAGCGAUAGAGUAUUAGGCCAGCCUCAAUGCAUAGUUUCAUGACACAGUUACUAAGACUAUAAACUAGGUAACCAAGCCAUAAAAGUUUUAUGGGGAUAAAACUCCUCUCUCAUCUGAUGAAACUCCUUCAUUUAAUGACCCUGCCAUGUCAGCAAGGCCAGUCUCAAUGCAUGUUUCAUGGGAGUGUCAUGCACAUUAAAUAGGGUGCCACAUAAGCAAAAUUGCUGACAUGGCAGGGUCAUUAAAUGAAGGAGUUUCAUCAGAUGAGAGAGGAGUUUUAUCCCCAUGAAACUUUUAUGGCUUGGUUACCUAGUUUAUAGUCUUGGUAACUGUGUCAUGAAACUAUGCAUCACAAUGCAGACUCUAUCAUAGAGUCUAAAGUUAUUUAUUACCUCGAACAAUGUGGACUUGGAGUCUAAAUAAGACUUAGAGUCUUAUUUUUUUCUACCUCUUUCUUCAAUAAAUAUGCUGCAACAUCAGCAAAAUGCCAUAAAUAAUAUGUAGUUAAUUGUUUUGGACUCUGUGAUACAGUCUUGCAUUGUGAGUGCCCUUAUCAGCCUAAGAAUCACAAACUGGUUCAUCAUAAACCGUGUUAGUUAGGCAAGUCUCAAUGCAUAGUUUCAUGGCACAGUUACCAAGAUUAUAAAGUAGGUAACCGAGCUACAGGAGUUUCAUGGGGAUGAAACUCCUCUCUCGUCUGAUGAAACUCUUUCAUUUAAUCACUCUGCCAAGUCAGCAAUUUUACUUAUGUGGCACCCUAUUUAAUAUGUAUGAUACUCUCAUGAAAUAUGCAUUGAGACUGGCUUACAUGCAGAAGACGAUUCCACGUUCUUCUAUCUCUGCUGAGAUUCUGACUCAGCAUGCCAUGCCACCGUUCUACGCAGGUCCUCUACUGAACGGCAACUUCGAGGACUCGCCGAACCCCUCCCAGAUGAGCGGCUCGGUGGUGACAGGGGAGCACGCGAUCUCCUACUGGAGGACGUCCGGCCACAUCGAGUUCAUCUGCUCCGGCCAGACGCAGGGGGACAUGGUCUUGACGGUGCCGGACGGCGCGCACGCCCUGCGGUUGGGCAACGGCGCCUCCAUCGAGCAGCGGAUCAGCCUCACGCCGGGCUCGUACUACUCCCUCACGUUCAGCGCGUCGCGCACCUGCGCCCAGGACGAGGUGCUCAACGUGACGGCCGCCCCCGUGUCCGGCUCCGGCGCCGCGGCCCAGACCGGCGAGCUCCCCAUCCAGACGGUGUACACCAGCAGCGGCUGGGACUCCUACUCCUGGGCCUUCAAGGCGGAGGCCGGCCUCGUGUCCAUCAUCAUCACCCACAUCUGCGGCGAACAGGAAGACCCCGCGUGCGGCCCCGUCGUCGACGCCUUCGCCAUCAAGACGCUCAGCCAGCCUGAGGCCACGGGAGAUAACCUGCUGAGGAACGGGGACUUCGAGGAGGGCCCGUACAUCCCGCCGGAGUCGCCGUGUGGAGUGAUGCUGCCGCCGAUGGACCAGGACUGCGUCUCCCCGCUGCCCGGGUGGAAGAUCAUGUCGUACAAGAAGUCGGUCAAGUACGUGGACUCGGCGCACUUCGCGGUGCCGCGCGGCGCGCGCGCCGUGGAGCUGGUGUCCGGCGUGGAGACCGCGCUGAUGCAGGAGGUGUACACCACCGUGGAAGGGAGCUGGUACAGGCUCGAGUUCUCGGUCGGGGACGCCGCCAACGGCUGCGCGUCGCCGUCGUAUGACGAUGGUUCCUCGUCCGGCGGGAUGAAGGUGAAGGCAUACGCGGGGUCGAGCGAAACCACCGUGGACAUCGAUUUCCACGGCGCCGGCGGUUCCAAACGCGGGAAGAUCGAGUUCAGGGCCACCGCGAACCCCACCAGGGUGGUGUUCGUCAGCUUGGGCUACCACACCAAGUGCGACAACAGCGGCACGCUCUGCGGGCCCGUCGUAGACGACGUCUCGCUCGUCCCCAUACCGCAGCCGUAUGCUCGCCGGCUACUUCUCUAGGCGUGCGUAAUAACACAAAAACUUCUUUACGGCCGGAGGCUAUACUCAUGCCGCGUCAUUUUUUUGUAGAAGUACCCGUGCUGCUUGGGUAACGGACAGUGUGACUGUGCUGGUUGAGUAUAUAGCCCAUUUUGGCUUACCUUUUGUACUACUACAUUUAUUCGUGUUCCUUUUUUUCACUUGGUUCAUUACUGCGUGGUUAUUUUGAGAAAACAAAAUGCGUACACUGAAUUAAGUUCUUUUUAUUAAAGAAUUAAAAAAUGGUUUAAUAGUUGACUAAAAAUCCAAACUCACUCUUCCAUGGUUCUAUGUUACAGCAUGCCAAAGGACUCUAGCUCAAUUGAUUAGAGCUUUCCAGCGGCACCCCUCAGAUCCCUCACUGGUGUAGCUAGGGUUUAAGGGUUUUUUCACGGUCGAGAAGAAUUACUUUUUUCUUAAUGAAAUACGGUGGGGUCUCUCCUCCUUUGAUCGCGUUUUUUUAUUCCAGCAUGCUGCUAUCCCACUCCCAUUAAGGGGGUGUUUGGGACUGCCCUGCUCCACGUUUUUCAGCUCUACUCCAUAUUUUUUAGCCAAACGGUUUCAGCUCCACGCACUCAGUUCGAGGAAAAAUGGUGGAGUUGUGAGAGCACCUAAAGAGGUACUCCACAAACUCCAGUUUUUUUCGGAGCUGCUCUACAGUAGAGUUUGUAGAGCAGAGUUUGUGGAGCAGUCCCAAACACCCUCUCUAGCGCAGUUUCAAGUGGGAGUAUCCUACCUAGGUGCUUCAUACCCUAACCCCUGAAAAAGACUAUAGGCUAACUUUUUGUAAGGUUAUUUGGUCAUUUACCAAUUACAUUUGAUAUCUCCCCUAACUUAUAAAAUGACUCGAUCUCUUCACGGAAAGAAAAGGAGUAUAUGGUAGAAUAUCAGUCGCUAAUCAACCUACCAAUCUUUCAAGGCCCGAUGAAUGGAUUGGGUUCUCAAGUAGAUAUACACUAGCAGCGUGAGAAUGAGUUAAUAUUUUCAAUGGGUUGGGUUGAAUUUAAUGGAAAAUCAGGUUGUAUUGCCAUGUUGGGUUCUUUUUUGGGGUUUGAAUGGGUUAAGCUAAUAGAAAAUUGGGUUUGAUUAGUUUCCUCUUUUCUGGAUAUUAGAGGUGAUAACUGGCACGAUAUAGCUUCUUUAUUUAAUUAAAUCACAAAAUUUGACGGGCCUAUAUGUUGUUCUUGGUGUGCAAAUUGGCAAAUAAUAGCUUUAUGUCACUUAGCUUUUAAUCUAGAACUUUAAGGUGUAAACAAGAGCUUUUAGUUCUAAGGCUUCGGCUUUUGACGUGAGACGACCUACAUGCAAAUCUUGUCAAGUUAAUUGAAAUGAAAGUAGAUCUAGCCUAGGGUUUUUAGGUUAGAAAAUUGUUCCGACAAACAUCCCAUGGCCACACUGACAUUUUUUGCCUAAGCAGGUUGGUCACCCACUACUUUUUAGUGUGAAAAUAACUCAACUAAAUAAUAAAUUGGGCCAGGCUUAGGCCUAUUUGUUUUGUUUGUAAUCAUUGUUCAGUCUCUGUCCACUGAUAGUUGCAAGUUGAGCCAAGACUGUCGGGCUUAGGCUGGGCAAAAAUGCAAUGCAUAGCACAAAAGUAGCUUCAUGUCAUAUUGAAUCAUAUCCAAUAAGCUUCGGUUAAUUUUGUAAAAAGAUUAAGGUGUGAACAUGAGAUCCUAGUUCUAGGUCUGAUGUGUUUGAUCAUGAAGUGCCAAUUGCCUCGUAGUAGUUUCUUGAUGUAUUCCAAUUUCCAACAGAUUUUAGUUAAGUUUAUUAAUAUUUUAAGGUGUGAACACGAAACUUUAUUUUCAGGAUCUGGCUGUGACGUUGAACCGCAAAAUUUAUUUAAAUGCAAAUAUCUUUUUACACAAAUUCAUGAUUUUUACUAGUUGAUAGAUAGGAUUGAGUUGAGUUAAAAAUAAUAAAUUUUUGGGUGGCUAAAAGAGUUAACUUACUGUGUGUUGAAAAUUGGAGGGUAUAAGUUUUAACCCAUUUUAGCAGGCUAAUCCUUCCGUUACCUGUGACUCUGAGUCUGUGAUACUGAUUAGCUUCUUUUUUUAAUCUUAUACUGAUUACCACAUGGACCAAACUCGAGCUGGGAAUUGGGAGAGCAAAUAAGGCCGGGUUUAGUUUCUAAAAUUUUUUAAGAUUUCUCGUCGUAUCGAAUCUUUGAAUACAUACAUAAAUCAUUAAAUAUAGAUAAAAACAAAAAUUAAUUGCACAAUUUAUAUGUAAUUUGCAAGACAGAUUUUUUAAACCUAGUUGGUCUAUAUACAAAUGAAAGUGCUACAAUAGUUAAAACUAAAAAUUUUCGCCGAGCCGGUCGAUAACUCUGCACUUCCCCGGCAGGCCGGCGCCUUGAGAUUACCCCGAGCUCUGAAAUGGCCAUAAAAAAACUCCGUGAUUCUGGACGGCCAUGUGACCACGCAGCGUCUCAAGCACGCCGUCCCCAGUCACCACCCGGCUGAGCAGGUCGAACCUCGAACGGCCAUUCCUUUACCACACCACCGCGCUUCAGGUGUCAGGACCGCGCGCCGACGAUGCCCUGCUACCCCCCUCGUUCGUGGAAGCCCCCGCGGAUCCGGCGCACGUUUCGCUCUGUCGGCCUGAUGAAGACGCACCUUGGCCAACUUGGCUGCCAUGAUUGGCGGUUCCAACGACGAGAGACAGGGUUCUCGACGCCGCACGUCCCCCGGCCUAUAAGUGCAAAACUGCAACGUAGCCUGUGGCCAUCGACACAAAACACUGAGUGUUCAUAGGUUCCUGACGUAUCUGAGUUGCAUUCGAGCGUGUAGGUUGUUUCUUUGAGUUGGAGAAGGUAGACGAUGGGAAGGGGAAGCGAGACAGUGCCGAACGCCCGUCGAGCUGCGCUGUUCUUGAUCGUCUGCUUGGCGGCUCGAGCGGCUUCGGCAAUCCAGGAUGGUGAGAACUUGAUAAACUGUGAUCCCUAACUGCUUCGUGAACUCUCUUUAUGCCGUAAACUAGGAUGUCUCUGAGCAGAGCUUGAUAUACUCACUCGCAGUCUUUUUAGCUACAUGAUUUUGUAUUCAGUAAGCUCGAACUAUUUUAUAUAGCUUUUGUUUGUUUACAUUUUUUUUUCGAGCUAAACUUUUGUUUUAUUAACCGAAAUUGGGGGGCUCAUCUCCUGCAGUCCGUCCAUUUCUAUCGACGCUAGUUCAGACUAUCGUAUUGGCAAGCUGUUUGCUAAGCAGACAUGAGCUCUAAAAUGCCAGUUCUAACUUCUAGUUACGCGGUUCAUGCUCAGGCCUGCUGCCGAACGGCAACUUCGAGGAGGCGCCACCCAAGUCGCAGCUCAAAGGCUCGAGGGUGAUGGGGCGCAACGCGAUACCGCACUGGGAGAUCUCGGGGUUCGUGGAGUACAUCGGAUCCGGGCAGAAGCAGGGUGACAUGCUCCUGCCGGUGCCGGAGGGCGCCUACGCCGUGCGGCUCGGGAACGAGGCCUCCAUCCAGCAGCGUCUCGCCCUGACGCAGGGCGCGCACUACUCCAUCACCUUCAGCGCGGCGCGCACCUGCGCCCAGGCCGAGCAGCUCAACGUCACGGUCGCCCCCGAGUCGGACAUUCUCCCUAUCCAGACGGUGUACACCAGCAGCGGCUGGGACUCCUACUCCUGGGCCUUCAAGGCCACGAGCAGCGUCGUCUCGCUGAUCAUCCACAACCCCGGUGUCGCCGAGGACGCAGCCUGCGGCCCCCUCAUCGACUUGUUCGCCAUUAAGACCCUGCCGACGCCUCAGAGCAGCAAGAGUAAGAAUUCUAGCUAACACCUUCCAAUUCGAAGCCGCCAUGGCCACAGCCACAGGCGCUCCACCGCGAAACACGUACUGACGAAUGGCUCAAUUCUUGCAGAUAAUCUGCUGAAGAAUGGGGACUUCGAGGAGGGCCCGUACAUCUUCCCCAACACGCGGUGGGGGGUGCUGGUGCCGCCCAUGGACGAGGACGACUACUCGCCGCUGUCGCCGUGGAUGAUCCUGUCGUCCACCAAGUCGGUGAAGUACGUGGACGCGCCGCACCACGUCGUGCCGCACGGUGCCCGCGCCGUGGAGCUGGUGUCCGGCAUGGAGACAGCGCUGGUGCAGAACGCGACCACCGUUCCCGGACUGCCCUACAGGCUUCAGUUCUCGGCCGGGGACGCCGGCAACGGCUGCGUGGGCUCCAUGGCUGUCCAGGCGUACGCCGGGGGCAAGAGCGUGAAGGCGCAGUUCCAGUCCCAGGGCAAAGGCGGCCACAAGCGCGGCGUGCUGGACUUCACGGCGACCGCGGACCAGACGCGGGUGGUGUUCGUCAGCAUGGGCUACAUCAUGAAGCCCGACGGCACGCUCUGUGGACCGGUCGUCGACGACGUCUCGCUAGUCUGCACGCGGAACCAUCCUGCUCGCCGCUUGCUUCUGUGAAACUACUGGACAUGAUUCAUUCAUAGGUUAAUGUGAAUGACUGUGAGUGUGCUCGAACUCGAAUGCUCGGGCUUCAUUAACCAAAUCUUGGUAGAUUCCACGGUCAUCAUAUAUGUACUUGCAUCUCUGUUUUAUUUUUCUUAGCCAAAUGUACUUAUGCUUCGACCCCACUUCCAUUGUUGUGCACUCAAUUUCAAUCUAGUAGUGAAGGAUUUGACUGAUGUGAUUUUUUGGGCUAUGGUUACCUGGUGGGGGUCCAUUUUCUAUCUUGUUCACUUCAUCUCCUUUCUAUUUUCUUAGUGCCUCCUCCCCAUCCUGUAACUUUUCGGACUCUAUUUUCUCGCACUUUUCAUUCUUUCUCUCUCCUGACACGUUCAAUUUUGUUCCUUUUUAUUUCUUUCUAUUGCAUUUAUUUUCUCACUUCCUUUUGUGCUUUUAUUUUUUCUUGCCUUUUUAUCUUUUCCCUUUUUAUUAUAUGCUGAGAAAUUUGGUCGCAACAAAUUACAUAGAAAUUGUGUCGGAUAAAUUGUAUGUACAAUUUACAACAAUAAUUUAUGUGUAUACGUUAUUUUAUUAUAUAUUUUAUUAUAUAAAGUUGUGUUUAUAAAAGUUAUAUUGAGAAAUUGUUGUGAAUAAGUUUACCCUGGUAGUUAUGAACAAAAGUUGCACUUCAAAUUUUAUGUAGAAAAAUUAUUAUGAUAAGUUGUCUACAAAAUAUUAAAAAAAUAUAUUGACUAAGUUAUGCCAAUAAGUAUAUCUCGUAAAAUAUUGUACAUAAAUUUGUAUAUAGCUUUGGAACUUUCUAAAAAUAUCAAAGUUGUGAAAAUAAUUUUGUCCAGGAGAAGAAAAGUUGCGGACUGGUUCAUCGCUCGCUAUUUAGGCCUUGUUUAGUUCAGCUCAGAAACCUAAAACUUUUCAAGAUUCUCCGUCGUAUCAAAUCUUUCGGCACAUACAUGAAGCAUUAAAUAUAGAUAAAAACAAAAACUAAUUGCAAAAUUUAUCUAUAAAUCGCGAGACGAAUCUUUUAAGUCUAGUUACUCCACCAUUAGAUAAUGUUUGUCAAAUAAAAACGGAAGUGCUACAGUGUCAAAAUCCAAAAAAAAUUGGAUCUAAACAAGGCCUUAGAAACCAAUGAAUGUUCAUAAAAUAUUAUGCACAAAAAGUUAUGCGCAUAACUUAUAACUUUCUAAAAAAAGUUCAUGGUAAUAAGUUUUGUUUUGUAAAAUACUAUACAUAGAACUUAUGUGUAUAAUUUUGUCACGUACUCUCUCCAUGUUUCUAAAGAAAGUCGUUUUGGAAUUGUCUUAAGUCAAAUAUUUUAAACUUUCACUUAAAUAAUUUUUUAGGUUAAGUUUGAAAAUAUGAAGUGAUGUAAGUAGAUUCAUCUUGAAAUAUAGUAUUAUAAACCGUGUCAAUGUUUUUGAAAUAUAGACUAUGUUUUACAAAUAAUUUAUUAAAAAAUUAGUAGUCAAAGUUGUUUUUAGAACCGUGUUGAUGUCCAAAAUGACUUUUUUAAGACAUAGAAGGAGUACUAAGUUAUGUGCGUAACUUUGUCACGUAGUAAGUUUUUUUUUAAAAAAAAAUUGUCACAUAGUAAGUUAUACAUUUAAGUUAUAUGUAUAACUUUGUAAGUUUCAAAAAAGGUUAUCAAGUGUCUAUUCACUACCCUAUUAUGAAGUAUAACUUGUUACAUGUGAAAUGCAUAUAGAAUACUAUUGUGAUUGAUCUCUUGCACCUGGAAGAAAUGUAUAUUUCCUUAUAUGAAAGCUUCUGUAAUUUUUGUGAGACAUAGCAACUCGUUUGCAUUUAACUAGUUUUAAAAAAUGGCUCUGCAUUGACCACUCAGGACUGUUGGGAUUUGGCCAUUUGGUAACCCCGAAGCUUUUUAAUGGCAGUUUGGUAACCCCGAAGCUUUUAAAUAGCCGUUCAACGUUACUCUACAAACUAAAACUACUACUACUACUAGGUACGUGUAUAGUAGGUGGCCAGGUCCAUGUGAGUUGUGACUUGUGAGCUUAGCAGACGCAGACACACAGGCUUUAGCCGCGCCAUCCCCAGUCACCACCCGUCCAGUGAGUGCACCACCACCGAACCCCACCUCAGGUCGGAGGAUGUCCUGCUAUCCACCGCGAUCGGGCGCGGGCUUCGUUCAGCCUCGUCGAGACGCACAGGGCUAUUUGGCCAAUCACUAAUCCUGUCUCGAGAGACACUUCACGAGCACGUCUACUCUAUAAACUACUGGGGUACUGGGGUAUGCAGAUUUCGUAUUGGUCCUUCCAUCCAAGGAAAAGGAGUGUCGACAGCACUUGUUCCGCCGGAGAAGACAGCUGAUGAGAGGCGAAAGGGAUAUGGUGCAGAACGCUCCCCACGCUGCGCUGUUCUUGCUCGUCGCCUUGGCUGCCCGAGCAGCUUCGGCCAUCCCGGACGGUGAGACCUUGGAAACUAUAUAUGUCAUGUCUUUCGAAAACUCUUUUUUUUUUUGUUUCUGAUUAACAAAUACUCCCCCGUCUCAUGAGUAGUAGCGUGAUGGAUUUCUGACGGCGCCACCAGUUCACGUGACGCCCCCGUCUCGUGCUGUGUCACACGCGGAUGAGUUUCUGAAUAAUGCUUGUAUGGCGCUGCUCUGCUCUCAGGCCUGCUGCCGAACGGCAACUUCGAGGAGGCGCCGGCGAAAUCGGAGCUCAACGGCACGCGGGUGAAGGGGCGCGACGCGAUCCCGCACUGGGAGAUCUCCGGGUUCGUGGAGUACAUCGGGCCCGGCCAGAAGCAGGGGGACAUGAUCCUCCCGGUGCCGGAGGGCGCCUACGCCGUGCGGCUGGGGAACGAGGCCUCCAUCCAGCAGCGGCUCGCCGUGACGCAGGGCGCGCGCUACUCCGUCACCUUCAGCGCGGCGCGCACCUGCGCCCAGGCCGAGCAGCUCAACGUCACGGUCGCCACCGACUCCGACGUGCUCCCCAUCCAGACGGUGUACACGAGCAGUGGCUGGGACUCCUACUCCUGGGCCUUCGAGGCUACGCGCAGCGCCGUGACGCUCAUCGUCCAUAACCCCGGCGUCACUGAAGACCCGGCCUGCGGCCCUCUCCUCGACGCGUUUGCCAUCAAGACUCUCCAGCCUCCUCCUGUGCUCGCCAAAAGUAAAGAUUCUGGCAUGUUGUUCAAUUGUUCAGUGUUCAACGAAACGAAAUGAUGCUGAGAAUUGCAUUGCCGAAUGGCCCUGCUGCAGAUAACAUGAUCCAGAACGGGGACUUCGAGGAGGGUCCGUACAUCUUCCCCGACGCGCCGUGGGGGGUGCUGGUGCCGCCAAUGGACGAGGACGACUACUCGCCGUUGUCGCCAUGGAUGAUCCUGUCGACGACCAAGUCCGUCAAGUACCUGGACGCGGCGCACUACGCCGUGCCGCACGGCGCGCGCGCCGUGGAGCUGCUGUCCGGCGUGGAGACCGCACUGGCGCAGGACGUGGCCACCGUGGCCGGGCGGCCGUACAGGCUCGAGUUCUCCACCGGGGACGCCGGGGACGGGUGCUCCGGCUCGUUGUCCCUGCGGGCAUAUGCGGCGAGCGGUAGCGUGACGGUGCCGCACGAGUCACAGGGCAGGGGUGGGCACAAGCGCGGCGUGCUGGACUUCACGGCGACCGCGGACCGGACGCGGGUGGCGUUCGUCAGUAUGGCCUACACCAUGAAGAGCGACGGGACGCUCUGUGGGCCCGUCCUCGACGAUGUCUCGCUCGUCGGCUUGCACAGCCGUGCUGCUCGCCGGUUCCUUCUGUAGUUCUGUGACAGUAGUUAGUUAUGAAGUGGUGACGUGUUCAAACUUCAGAAUAUGCUUGGGCUGUUGGGACUCGACUAAGGUUGGGGGCGAUGAGCUGAUUUACCAUCAUAUAUUUUUCUUUCACCCGCAAGUUUUUUUUUUUCAAAAUUAAGAAUCUUAUUGUCGGUAUAAUUUCAAAACAAUUGUUCGGCUGCUUGUUUCAGCAACGCUGCAGCUGCAGAUAGUACUGUACCGUACCCACAGUGUUUACUCUCUUGCCGCUUGCGCCAAUCAGCCGCGGAGGCCCAUGAAAAUGGGAAAAGGGAUUACCUGGACAUACCUAACUGGGCCUACGUGACAUAAUCCGGUAUUGUUCAGGCCCAGCCUGCGAGCCCAGUACCCACCGGCCGACGCCGACGCUUUCGGCUUUCCCGCGUGCUGCCCGUGAGGCAUGAGCUGCCGGCGCAUACAACCGGGCUGGGUACAACCGGAAUGGAAGCCGAAUCUUGCACUGACGACGGCGCCUCGUCGGGCAAGAACUCCACGUGACCUUGUUGCUGCCGAGAUCCGAAGCUGCCAAGAAGGGCCAGGCAGGCCAUCCUCUCUCCCUCCCUCGCCCCAUCGACCACUACUAGGGAUGCCGCCUGUGCGCCUGUGGUGCGGCUCCGCUCCUCGUGCUCCGCGCGCGACUCAGAGUUCCAUCCAAACAGACGCUAUAAAGUGGAGCAGGCGUCGCGCUGGGCUCGUCACACUGUUCCGUCGACGAGAACUCGAGAAGGCUACGCAGGGACGAGCCUGACAUGGCGGAGAGCGGGAGCUCACGUCGUGGCGUGCUGCUGUUCUUGCUCGUCGGCGUGGCUGCGGCUGGAGUGGCUUCGGCCAUCCCUGACGGUGAGAUCCCGCAAACUGCUACGACUCCAAUGCUGAUUACGUGUCAUUUGAUCUUAUAUGCACGCACAGUAUACUGGUGAGAAUUAAUGAGCUUGCAUAUUACAUUUUAAGUAUUCGACUAUUGGCGCCACGCCAUCCAUAUUUCUUUAUCCCUAUAUACUUCACACACAUUGGCAUAAGUUUGUUGUCGUCAAAUAUCUCAUCGUUUGCACUUACUACACUCUCCAUCUCAAAAAGUACUAUGUAACUCAGCGUGUGUGCUUGGAUCCUGUUUUGGUGACCUACAAGUAAAGUUUAGGUGGACUAAAAUUUAGUUAAGCUAAAGUUUAGAAAGACCACUUUUAGUCAACUAAGUGGUGUUUGGAUGUAUAGACUAAAAGUGGACUAAAAGACAAAGAUCCCUUAGGCUUAGACUCAUGGACAGCUUUUAGUUCACAUUAGUCUAUAUUUGCCAACUAAUGAACUAAUGUCUAGUUGGGUGUAGACCUAAAAAUUAAUUCACUUUUAGUUCACAUAUUUGGAUACCUUGGCCUAAAGUUUAGGUGACUAAAGUUCGUUGGCGGUAUUGAACAGGCUCUUAGUCAAACUAGUUGAAGUAGUGUAACCAAAUUUAUAGAAAAAACAUUAGCACUUACGAUUUUAAACAGUUAUAUUAUGAAAAUGUAUUCUAUAAUAACUCAAAUGAUAUAUUUUUUUGCAAAGGGUAGGGGGAUUAUAUUAAGACUCGACAUAGUAUAUCUCCGAAUUAUACAUGAAAAAAUCUCUAAUUAUACUUAUGGGUACCAUAAAGAUACGUAAGUGUCUUUAUGAAUGAUGUCAGUUUUAAGAUAGUCUAUUAGCUUUGUACUAUGCUAACUAGAGUUGUGCCUUCUUCUCUUUUUUGAACGGAGAUAGUACUACGGACCUUCCUGUUCCUUUUUGAAAAGAAUUUUGCUGUCCGCCAAUGUUCAGGCGCUGUCUAGAUUGGGAUAAAUGAGAUAACACUGUCAGGACUGGAGUAUCACGGUAGCCCUUUUUAAAGAAACGGUACAUGAUUCAUAGGCUCAUAGCUAUCAUGGUCACAGAUUCCCAGAAAGAAGUUGAGUCUCGUGGGAAGUACGUGAGCGUUGACCCAUGAGAAUGGAGUAAUAGAAGAUACUGUAUCGAUCACGCUAUUGAGAUAGAUUGUGAUGUGGUGUAGGAUUAGGAAAGUGGUGCGCGCACAUGCAGCUCCAAAUUCCAAUAUAUGCACAUGUUUAAUCACUUAUUAGACUAAAAUAAUACUGGUUGCUAGUAAAUUUUAGACUAAGUGGGACUAAAAGGUGUCUAUGGGGUUUUUAGUAGAAAGAUUCAAACAGCGUCCAACAAAACUUUACUUGUCUAAUCUAAUUUUUAAUUUAAGCUAAUAAUUAGUCCUCGACGACUAACUUGUUCAUCCCUGGUGGCCAGGGCUACUGCCAAACGGUAACUUCGAGCAAGGUCCGGACAAGUCCCAGAUGAACGGGUCCAGGGUGAUUGGUCAAAACUCCAUACCCUGCUGGGAGACCUCAGGUUUCGUGGAGUACAUCGAGCCCGGGCAGCAGCAGAACGACAUGGUCCUGGUGGUGCCUGAGGGCGCACGGGCCGUUCGCCUCGGCAACGACGCGACCAUCCGGCAGCAGCUUCCAGGCCUGACCCGCAGCAUGUCCUACUCCAUCACCUUCAGCGCGGCGCGCACCUGCGCCCAGGCCGAGCAGCUCAACGUGUCCGUCGCCGCGGAGUCCGGCGUCCUCCCUGUCCAGACCGUGUACACCAGCAGCGGCUGGGACUCCUACUCCUACGCCUUCAAGGCCAGGCACACCGCCGUGUGGCUCACCAUCCACAACCCCGGCGUCGAGGAGGACCCGGCGUGCGGCCCCAUCAUCGAUUCCGUCGCCAUCAAGGCCCUCCACCCUCCCAGCCGCGUCAAGGGUACGUAUCAUUGAUUUCUGACCUCAAAUCAAAUAAGCUUCAAAACAGACUGUGACGAUUGUUUCUCUCAACUACUUGCUGUCUGCUCUCUCGUGCAUACUGCAGACAAUAUGCUGAAGAACGGAGACUUUGAGGAGGGCCCGUACAUGUUCCCGGACUUGGCAUGGGGCGUGCUGGUGCCGCCGAUGGACGAGGACGACGUGUCUCCGCUGCCGGGGUGGAUGAUCAUGUCGGACACCAAGGCCGUCAAGUACCUGGACGCGGCGCACUUCGCCGUGCCGCACGGCGCGUACGCCGUGGAGCUGGUGGCCGGCACGGAGGCCGCGCUGGUGCAGGAGGUGCAGACCAAGCCCGGGCGGUCAUACAAGCUGUCCUUCUCCGUCGGGGACGCGGCCAACGGGUGCGCGAGCACGCUGCUCGUGGACGCGUACGCGGCGCGGGGCAGGCAGCCGGUCUCGUACGAGUCCCACGGCAUGGGCGGGUGCGUGCGCAGCGAGUUGGAGUUCGCAGCGGUGGCAAACCUCACCCGUGUGGUGUUCCAGAGCAUGGGCCACUACAUGAAGCCCGACGGGACGCUCUGCGGGCCGGUCGUGGACGACGUCUCCCUCGUCAGCCUGCCCAGACACGCAGCCCGCCGGUUGCUCAUGUAGGGACACAUUUUUGCUUUGCAGACUGAGGCCUGGUAGUUCCUAAAAUUUGCUCAUUUUUUUUAAAAAAAUUCUCCAUCAUAUCGAAUCAUUGGACGCAUACAUAAAACAUUAAAUAAAAAUAAAAAUAAAAACUAAUUAUACUUUGUCUAUAAUUUGUCAGAUGAAUGUCUAGUUAGACUAUCUCCAACAAUCCUCACCCAAAAUACAAGACACAUUUGUUCUUUGGAUAGCGCUACAGUCCAAAGGUUCAAUACAUAUUUUUAGUCUUCUCCAACAACAAGACCUAAAAGACAGUCUGCAAAUAGGUCUCGAAGAGAGAGAGGAUACCUAAGUUUUGAUUAUGUCUCUCCUGAUACCUAAAAUGGUUCUUCAAUAUAGGUACUCUAUUAGAGGCUAUAGGUAUUGUGUUGGAGAUUUAUUUUAGAUUUGGGUUCCCAAAUGAAUCUCCUAUUUAAGACAGCCUUAGUCCAUAGUUAGAUAGUAAUUAUCAAAUACAAAUGAAAGUGCUACAGUAGUCGAAACUAAAAUUUUUCACCAACCAAAACAAGGCCCGGAAGAUAGGGCCAGAGGGAGACAGGAAUCACAACCACCACAUCUCCAGAAUGGAACAUGUUAGGUCAGUCUAAAUGGAGUUUUAUUAGAGUUUUAUAUUCAUAUUAAAUAUGCUGAUAUGACAUUGUAUUAAUGAACAGCGAUGAUAAGAAUUUAAUGAAAAUAGAGAGAGUUUUAUCCCAUAAACUUUUCUAUACUAUUUCUAAAAUAUAAAUGUGUUAGAAUCUAGGCCAUAAAAACCCACUAAGGAUGGCCUUAAGAGCUCUUCCAGCUCUAAACCAUUUUGCAUAAACAAACCUAUAGUCCGCCCGCGUGGAACAAUGUAUUGACUUGAUUGGAAAAAACUCAAAAGCAAGCAACGUAAAAUGUUUUUUUAUUGUUCAUUUUUGUUUACUUUCAUCACUACUAGUUCUACGUGCAAUUGCAGCCAACAUCUGCACUGGUGCGAUAUGGUCUUUGUAUCUGACCAAUAAUUAGAUUAUAUAAGGGUUCAUAUACACGUGUGUACUUAUUUUCUAUCAACGCACGCACAUACGUACUCUAAUAAACACUGCCUAGAGAAUGAGCCGGUUUUUCGAAUCAAAUUGAUAAAUGCAGCGCAAUAGGACCGGAUUUAAAGUUGGUGCAUGGUUUGAAAAUUGCUCCAGUUAAUAUAAACAAUUAAACUUGCCUGGUUUUGAAUGAAAAGCAAUUUUAUCUCAGUUCAUUAACAACAUGGCAUAUACUAUAAUAAAAUAAGAUUUAAUCACUUCCAAAUAUAGCUAAAAAAAAGUAGAACUAGGCUCCACCCCAUCAUAGGAGCUUGUAAUCGAUGAUUAUGUCUCUUGCUAUUGAAAAAAUAGCAUUGAGUGUAAAAUUAGCCAAAAAAAAUUCUAAAGAUAAAAUUGAAAACACACCACCACGGAAUUGACCCAGAAACACCAGCGCCUUUGCAAGGAUUGUGUUUUCUAAAAGGAAGUUUGGUCCCUCCUAAAAUAGUGGUUUGGCUUAUCAAUGAUUGUGUCGGUGUUUUGUAAAUAAGACUAGUAAAUUUAUACAAUUGCUGUUCUAGGAAGAUGAUGGUGACAUCCAAAAGACACGAGGAUUUAUACUGAUUCAUGCUGGAGUCCUACGUCCAAUCUUAGAGAUGAUCGAGUGCAUAUUCCUUGCUUGAAUGCUCUGAAGUUUUUAUAAUAGGGGGUACAAGAGUGGUGAAAGAGGGAGCAAAACCUAUGCUAGGCGAGGGGCAGCCCAAAGGGAAGCUUCAAGAGCCCUACUGCUAUGGAUGGAAAGGUAGAGGAUGAAGAAUGUCAAGAUGAUCCUAGAAGGGCGCCCUGGCUACCCUUAUAUAGAGUUUGAGGCUAGGGCUUGAUACAAAGAGGAGAUCCUAGCUAACUUGGCUUGCAAGCUACGUCGUCUUCUGGGGCUCGUUCGUGCGGGUCAUCGUCAUGGUCUUGUGGCCAUGUUACGGCUGGGCAAGAUGUGGUGCUACUAUGUUGGCCAUGGCAACACUGUAGCCAUGGUGAUGGUUUGUCACUUGUCCUGUGCAACGCGACAUCCGUUGUGGUCUUCGUCGUCGCCUCCAAGUUUCCCAGGGCAUCGUACUCAUAGUAGGUAGCCUCCCGACAUCAUUGUUCGUCUAGCUACCUCUCGGGAUUGAGGGCCAUGACCCCAACCAUUGGGGUCGGGGCUUUUCAACCGGUCUGGUAAGCUUCAACGUGAGACCCUAUUCGUGGCUCCCACUUCAUAGUGGCCAGGACCAUAUACCUGCUUGGUUGGGCCAUACCUAGUCUGUGGUUAUCGUACCCGUUGUUACCGCCUCGAGGCACUGUUGUCUUGUCUAUGCAACAUGGCACAAGGUUGGCGUCUGAUUGGACUGAGGUAACUAUUGUCACCUCAAUCCUUUUGGGGUGAGUGCGGCGUGCUUGCCCCUAUCAAGGAAAGCUCGUUUGUCGAGGCAUAACCUCUUUCUAUCUCUUUCGGAGGUGAUGAGGGAGAGAAGUCGUAUGCCUUGCGACCGUGGAGAGACCAAGGUGGACGACCCUGGCAUUAGCACCUGUACUAACCUGUUUCGCUUCUACCGGGCUCAUUAGUUUGGGCCUUUGUCUGUUGUUGCGUUCUGAGCUAUAAGACCCGCCAUCUAAUCGAUGUCUUGGGAUACCCUGGGUCAUAACCCCGAUAGAUUGACACAGUUAGAACGGUGGGAUCACUCCGCACUUACUGGCAUAAGUGCCACGCUAGGACGGACAGAGGCCAGAGGGAAGUGUUUGACGGUGUUCUGAUCACUUUUUGGUGGAAUAUAUGGAAGGAGCGAAAUAGAAGUUUUUUUAAAAAACAAAACAUUGCAACCAAGACAAGUGGCCCUGCUGUGCAAUGAAGAUUUAGGGCAAUAUUAGUUGGCAAUAAGACUCUAGGAGUUGUCAUGUCUUCCUAGUGUUUGAGUUUAGGUUUUUCGGCCCUAAAUGUUCUAGUUAGGUGGUCGGCCUGCAUACCGAAGCAGCGGUUAGUUUGGUCUCCAGUUUUGUUUUGUAAUAAUUUUUUCUUCGUCUAAUAAAAUUCUGGCAAAUCUCUUGCCACCUUUUUAAAAAAUAUAAAAUUGAAAACAAAAAAUGACUAUGCCGCCUCCACCACACACUGUUGCCCUCCAUGGAAGGCUUUGCUCGUUACACCACCGCUACCACUUGUGCUAAGAUCUCUCGCCUCAUCUCAAAUCUCAAUACUAACAGAUGCGUGGUCGUCUCCGCAUUUCGUGCCCCUGCGCGAGGCUCGCGCUAGCUCUAUAAGUAGUUACACGAGACUCGGCGCGGCCUUGCUCGUGAGACUGUUCCAUCGAGCUAUACCAGCUCGAGAGCUCGGUUGGCGUCCCCGAAGCAGCUCGAGAGCUCAGUUCGCUUCGCGUCCCCAAAGGAGGGAGGCAUGGAGCUCAUGAGAAGGGAACCUCAACAGUCAAGCAUGGCGGGCCGCACGAGGUCACGUUGCCCCGUGCUGCUGCUCUUCCUCGUCGGUGUGGCUGCUCGAGUGGCUUCAGGCGUCGUCACCGACGGUGAGAUCUAGCGUACUACAAGAUCCUCGUAUGACUUGCGCAUAAGUUAGCGGUGGUAUAAUUCACACAAACAGCAGCAAGUUCACUUUUAAGUUCCGUUCUAAGCUGCUGAAUGCUGAGCUUGCUUCAUUUUCUUCUUGCUAUUUUCAGUUUUAUCUAGCAAUGUCAAGGUGCUGUUUAAAUUGGCCGAUGAAAUGAAUCAAUUCGAUGGUCGCGAGAACACUUGCAAUAUUUCUAAUUUCAGAACAAACAGUAGUUAAUUAGCUUCAGAUUCUCAAUCUGAACUAGUGAUGAUACGAUCAGUUUGACGACGAUUAAAUAGUGAUGUGGAGUAAUGAAUUUCAGCCUUAAAAUCCGAAACAAAAUGUACAACAUACCAUUUCACCAGCUGACCUGGCCCCCAGCACCCUUCAGUGUAUGUUUAUUUGUUGGCUGAAGAUAGAUAGAAGAACAACCUGAACAGACCAAAACGUAUCUGCAAUGUAAAGACUGCUUCACCAUUUCAUGUCUGAACUGAAGUACCACAUUGUGCAAUUGUGUUCAGGCCUAUUACCAAAUGGCAAUUUUGAGUUCGGACCGGCCAAGUCGGAUCUGAACGGCACUAGGGUAAUGGGUCAAAACUCCAUACCGAACUGGGAGAUCUCCGGGUUCGUGGAGUACAUCGGGUCCGGGCAGCAGCAGGACGACAUGAUCCUCCCGGUGCCGGAAGGCGCAUACGCCGUGCGUCUGGGCAACGACGCAACCAUCCGGCAGAAGCUAAGCGUGAACCGGAAGACGACCUACUCCAUCACCUUCUGCGCGGCGCGCACCUGCGCGCAGGCCGAGCAGCUCAACGUGUCCGUCGCCGCGGAGUCCGGCGUCCUCCCGGUCCAGACCGUGUACACCAGCAGCGGGUGGGACUCCUACUCCUACGCCUUCAGAGCCAGGCACAGCACCGCGUGGCUCACCAUCCACAACCCCAGCCACGAGGACGACCCGGCGUGCGGCCCCCUCAUCGACUCCGUUGCCAUCAAGGCCCUCAACCCGCCGCAUCAUACCAAGGGUUCGUGACAUUUCCGAAGGUCGUUCCAAAGAAUUUUUCUGUUUCGGAACGGCAAACGGCCGGUUUAACCCCAUCGCGGCAUAUAUAUGCAGGUAACUUGCUGAGGAACGGAGACUUCGAGGAGGGGCCGUUCAUCUUCCCGGGCACGGCGUGGGGCGUGCUGGUGCCGCCGAUGGACGAGGACGACGUGUCACCGCUGCCAGGGUGGAUGGUCAUGUCGGACACCAAGGUGGUCAAGUACGUGGACGCGGCGCACCACGCGGUGCCGCGCGGCGCGCGCGCCGUGGAGCUGGUGGCCGGCAGGGAGGCCGCGCUGGUGCAGGAGGUCCGCGGCACCGUGCCCGGCCGGCGCUACCGCUUGUCGUUCUCGGUCGGGGACGCGGGGAACGGGUGCGAGGGGUCCUUGGCCGUGGAGGCGUACGCGGCGCGGGCGACGGCGAGGGCGACGUACGAGUCCCGCGGAACCGGCGGGAGCAUAAAGCGCGCCGCGGUCGUCGAGUUCGCGGCGAUCGCGAACCUCACGCGCGUGGUGUUUCAGAGCUACAACCACCACAUGAAGCCCGACGGCACGCUCUGCGGGCCGGUCGUGGACGACGUCUCCCUCGUCGGCCUGCGCAAGCACGCCGCGCGCCGGCUAUUCUUGUAGUCUGCGCUCUGCAGCAGUGGCGUACCUGCUGGUGCUUGAUGAGUUUGUAUUGGCAAUCCCGUACGUACAUGUGUAUGGCCAUUGGCCACUAGCUAACUGUACCUGCAAUGGCAAGCGGCGUAGAAUUUAUUUUGAUAUACUAUUCGAGAACCAGAUGUGCUUGUACAAUCUUGUGAUGGCAUGAUGCUGUUAUGCAUGGCUUUGACUAACGAUUGCGCCGAGGAACUGAUCUGCGAUUCAGAUGUACAGUACUGUACUUGUAAUCACACAGCGUCGGUGUUUUCCAAGGCUUUGACUUUGUUGUUCUUUUGUAUGGACAAAGUUUGCCUUUGAAAAUACUUUGGCCGGUGGGGAGCAUCUGGCCGAGAGCGGCUCUCAAGACGGCGGCAGACUGGCAAUGGCGACAGACCAUAGCUGUCGAUUCCAUUCGGUCAUUUGGAGGCCAUUCCCAGCUUUUGCAUCUGGAGUAGUGGAGCGGUAGGCCAUUACUCACGGUGGCGAGCUACGUUUGGAGGGCGCGCAGGAGCGGCAGUGGCCCGUGUCCAUGACCAGGUACCAGCGCGCCGCGACGGCGAGCUCCGGGACACGGCCGUCGCACUGGAUGGCACAGCGGCCGCGCGGAACGAACGAAACGCCUCGAAAGGAAUCUUCUACGCUGCGUUGGCCAUGCGAGCGAAACAGAGUGCCACGUGACCGCGCACUGGGACUGUCUCCUGGAACAGGAAGCAGCAGCAGGUCCCGACUCGGCGAGUGGAGUUGCCGAUCUCGAGAGCGUGAGAUGCUCACGAUUGACGAUCCGGCGCCAGCGGGCGCGUCACGCGUCCGUCGGCCUUCGCUAACCGGCACGCCCCCGGAUUACGCAAGGUCAACAGACCUAAUAAGCGGCACCGCUUAUAUAAGCUGCGCACCGGCCGACUGCAUAUAUAUCAGAGCUCCUGGUUUUGUUUUGCAGCUCACAAGGCGGCAGCUACAAGCUACCGCUGUAGAGUGUAGAGUACUGUAUGUUACACAAGGUUCCAGGUGCCAGGGCGACGUCGUCAACCGAAGCCGAGGGUAGCUCCGAUCCUGAGAAUGGAGCCCACCACCAUGGUCGCUCGACGAUCCGUGGCGUUCGUCAUACUCCUCAUCGCCGUGGCCGCUCGAGCGGUUUUUGCCAUCACCGAAGGUGAGAACUCGCAACCGAGUACUAAUGUUUUGUUUCUGGCGCAUCGGCUCUGGUUUGUACUAGUGUUGAUUUGUGCUUUGCGGUUUCCAAAUAUACCUUCACCAUCCCGUAUUCUACGUGUCUACGUACAACAUUUUUGCUCUCUUUUGAACCCGGCUAGCAUAUUCGCUUCCUGGAUCUUUCUAAUACUGCGUAAGGCAGUUGAGCAAGCCACGCUAAGUCAACUACUAUUUAGGAUGGCGUGUGAUCGUGCGUCCAAGUUCGAACUCCCUCUAGUUCAAACUUGGGUAACUAUUUCUUCUUGUUAGUAAUAAGAAAAAAAAACCUUAGUUACUCCGAGAGUUUGGAUCUAGUUUUCUUCCUAGUGCAACACAUGUGGUUGCUCUACUCAAGCCUUGUUUAGUUUUAUUUUUUUUCAAAAUAGACACUGUAACACUUUUAUUUGUAUUUGACAAAUAUUGUUCAAUUAUAGACUAAUUAGGCUCAAAAGAUUUGUCUCACAAAUUACAUGUAAAUUAUGUAAUUAGUUAUUAUUUUUAUCUAUAUUUAAUGCUCCAUGUAUAUGCCGUAAGAUUUAAUGUGACGAGAAAUCUAAAUUUUUUAUAUUUUUUUUUGAACUAAACAAGGCCUCAAUGAAAUACGUGCCGUCUCAAAAAAAAAGUACUUUAGUCCAAUGUGUACUCUACUCUAUAUAUCACCACCUAGUAUUGGUUUGUUAGUGGAUUCAUAGAAAAGAAAAGAAGUAUCGAUUUGUUAGUUGCAUGGUACUUCCUAGCUCCCCGAAAUAAUAAACGUAUUUAUAGUAGAAAGAGUCAAAUUCUAUAGAUUUUAUCUAACGAAUAUAUUAUAUAUUAUAUGAUAUUGACUUUUUAGUUAAUAUUAUUGUAAGAUUAGUUUGUAUACGUUUUUUAUAUCAAAGUACACUCGUUACUUAGGGGCGGAGAGAGUAAUAUGGUAUCAUAAUAUGCUAAGGGUUCUCCUAACCCAGAAACUAUGGGAUAUUAAGGCCUUGUUUACUUCCAAAAAUUUUUGCAAAAUAGAAAUAGUAGCACUUUCGUUUGUAUUUGACAAAUAUUGUCUAAUUAUGGACUAACUAGGCUCAAAAGAUUCGUCUCGUCAAUUCUGACCAAAAUGUGCAAUUAUUUUUAUUUUUAUCUAUAUUUAAUACUCCAUGCAUACAUCUAAAGAUUCGAUGUGACAGGGAAUCUGAAAAAUUUUGCAAAAACUUUUGGAGAACUAAACAAGGCCUAAGUCAUGUAGACACUAUAUGUAAAAAUCAUAGUUUCAAUGGAUGGUUUCUUUAAAAUUGAUUCUUUUGUUUAAUAAUGUGUAUUUUCUCUCCUCUAUCUAUCUAUCUAUCUAUCUAUCUAUCUAUCUAUCUAUCUAUCUAUCUAUCUAUCUAUCUAUCUAUCUAUCUAUCUAUCACAUCUCUUUUAUAUCUUGGCUCCAUGCAGAUAUAGUUUCUUGUAUAAAAAAAAUUCCUACCUAGGAGUAUCUCUUAGUUUAAAUGCAGUAUCAUCAUUUUAUUGGGGGUGCUAUAAAAUUUAUUGGGGGUGCAAUAGCAUGCCCUCGCAAAUAUCCUCGAGCGAGGCUUAUCGUGAGGUAGGGGAAAUAAGGUUAUUGUUAAUUUCCUAUCAUCUCCGGAUCACAGGUAGGUGGUGACGCCGGCGUUGGUUGGUCCAACGAUAUGACCGAGUCGUCUGAAACGCCGAAAUGAUCACGCACCAUCUACUCUGACAUGAAUGGCCGUCCAUAUGCCUUCGUACAUUUCUCUCGAGUUCAGACAAUUUGACUUGGACCAACCCUGUUGUGCAGGCCUGCUACCAAACGGUCAUUUUGAGCAAGGACCAGCCAAGUCGGAGAUGAACGGCACCAGGGUGCUAGGCCGCUACUCCAUACCGCACUGGGAGAUUUCAGGGUUCCUGGAGUACAUCGAGUCCGGCCAGAAACAGGACGACAUGCUCCUCCAGGUCCCGGAAGGCGAGCGCGCCGUGCGGCUGGGCAACGACGCCACCAUCCAGCAGCAGCUAGCAGUGACCCGGCACACGUACUACUCCAUCACCUUCUCCGCGUCGCGCACCUGCGCCCAGGCCGAGAAGCUGAACGUGUCGGUCACCCCGGAGUCCGGCGUCCUCCCCAUCCAGACGGUGUACACCAGCAGCGGCUGGGACUCCUACUCCUGGGCCUUCAAGGCCAGGCACAGCACCGUGUGGCUCUCCAUCCACAACCCCGGCCACGAGGAGAACCCGGCGUGCGGCCCCCUCAUCGACCGCGUCGCCGUCAAGACCCUCCGCUCUCCCCAUCACGUCAAGAGUAAGACCACCGAUUGCUCAUGCCUUCCUUUGAUGAACUUCUUGCAAGAAAUUAGCACUCACACUUGGAUUACGGCAUGGAUAUAUAUACAUGAUCUUACUGAAGCAGACAACAUGUUGAGGAACGGGGACUUCGAGGACGGGCCCUACAUCUUCGCGGACACGCCGUGGGGCGUGCUGGUUCCGCCGAUCACGGAGGACGAGCACUCGCCGCUGCCUGGGUGGAUGAUCAUGUCGGACACCAAGGUCGUCAAGUACGUGGACGCGCCGCACCACGCGGUGCCGCGCGGCGCGGGCGCCGUGGAGCUGGUCGCCGGCAGGGAGUGCGCGCUGGUGCAGGAGGUGCGCACCGUGCCCCGCCGCUCGUACAAGCUGUCCUUCGCCGUCGGGGACGCGGCCAACGGGUGCGAAGGGAACCUGGCCGUGGACGUGUCCGCGGGGCGCGCCGCGAAGCUGAACGUGCCGUACGAGUCCCACGGCACGGGCGGGUACAAGCGCGCCGAGCUCGAGUUCGUGGCGACCGACAAUCUGACGCGCGUCGUGUUCCAGAGCGCCAACCACUACACCAAGUCGGACGCGACGCUCUGCGGCCCCAUCAUCGAUGAUGUUCGGCUCGUCCCCGUGCACGCCCGCCGGCGGCGUAUGUAGAGGGCAUAGUAGAGUUUGUUUGGAAGAGUUUUAGUUUUCAAAACAUUAAUCUAGAGUACGUAUCAGCUUCACCAUGGAGGAGUUAUCUACCAUCUAGGCUUCCAACAUGGAACUGACAAGCCCUUUUGGUUUGCAGCGCAAUUGUGCGAAAUGGUGAAAUGCUGAUAAUAUGUCACUGUUGCAUUAAGUUUUUUUUUUCAAAUGGACAAAUAUCGUUUUUAGACGCUGUUUAGAUUAUGCAAAAUGCUAAAUUGUGAUGGUACAUCGCUACUUCAUUAAGCUUUUUCCAGAGAUGGUCAAACAUCAUUUUAGAGACAAUAUAUAUAGAUUGUGAAAACCAAGAUUUGCAGAGAUAGGAAGAGAAACUGACCCUGAAAAGAUAUUUCGAGAGGUGGGUACCUAUCUCUAGAAGUGAAAAACAAAACACAUCAGCCAAAAUCCAUCUUCUUCAAUUCCCACUGCUCUAGCUUCCCCAGGCGACGCUACUAUCCUUCACCUACUUCUCCCUAAUUGCUUCUCCUCGCAGGGGCUUUUCUACCACACAUAUUAGUGGGGCAGCGCCUCCUUGAUGCGUAAGUCUAUGCCUACAAGGAGGAUGGACAUUGUACAUAUCAUCAUUGGCUCCGUCUACAGCUCUCUAGCUUCAUCGAAAAGUGAUUGGGUUAUAGUUCAUUACUUACUCUGCGAUUGAAUAUGAUAACAUAAUAUCUUGGUUGUGAGCCUAAGGCAGACGAUGAGUAGAAGCACUCACUUGGGCCAAUAUUGGAUUUUGCAUUAGGCCUCACAUGCGGCUCUUGUGUGGGGUCACGAGCAAGUCCAAAUUCGACGAAGAUGACAAGAUGGCCACCCACUGAUGCUAAGAAAGGAGACGUUUGUCUCCCACAUCACCGUCACCAUAGACUUCAAGUUUGCUCCUCAUCAGAUCUGAGAUGAAUGAGAUGGGGAGGGACCCAUCUAACCAAGUCCAUGCCCCUAGCCUGAUUUGACACAAGGAGGCAACCUUGCUACCAGUAGAGGCUCACCAUGGAGGGCCACACCGCCAAUAGUAGAGGUCGCCUUGAGGGGCUACACCAUCGCUAGUAGGGAUCACCUCGCGGGAGCCACGCGUCAUCGGUAGAAAAAAAUUGUUACAUGGUUUAUCAGCUCUGUCUCUCUCCUCUCUCUCUCGCACCAGCACCAGGGUAAGAAAAAAAUUACUAUUAACUAGAUAGAAUUUCACCAUAUAUUGCUACCAAAUUAUAUAUGUCUCCUUAUAAGUGCACCACCAUGAAUUUGAGUUGGCUUCGCCCCUGCUAGUUUACAUAACUUCGAUUACAUGAAAGUAGGAUAAAUGACUCCGGAGUCUACCACCUAAGAUAGUAAUAUGUCGUCUACGAACUGGGUGUAAUUGUCUCAGUAGAAUUAGCACAAGUCCCUUGUUUCCAUCAUAGCUCCAUAUGCUUCUUUAUUAUGCCAUUUACCACCUGUUGGUCUCUCUUGCUUUCCUUUUAAACAUGAAUGUUCUUUUUCCUCCAUAAUUUCAUAUUAUCAGUAUGACCAAGGAUUUCAUUCUGGGCCUUGCCACUGUCGAUCCACCGAUUGCUAGAUUUAAGGAACCAUUGAUCCGUGCUUGUCAACUGGUCCCAGUUUGUCAGCAUUAGAGUCGGUGCUCCUAUCCAAGUCACCACUACUCCUUCUUCCUUGAUCCUCCUAGCUACGCAACACUCCUGGAACAAGUGUCUUAAGUUUGUUGUGAUCUUGAGAUUUCUCAUGCACAGAUGACAAAAUCAUUCAUUUGGCCACCCUCACAAUUGCAAUCUUGAUGAUGUCCAAAUCAUGUCCUAUAACCAGAGCAAUAUGAAGAACUUCACUUCAUCAGUGCCUCUCUCGGUCACCAUCAUAUGCACCAAGUGACCCCUUCAAACUACAUCAUAUACGCAGAUUUGGCCGAAUACUGACCAUCAGUUGUGUGUAGCAAUGUAAUCUUGUCUUUUUGUGACUCUACUAUAGCUCAACGUUUUACAGUUUCUCCUAUAAGGCCAUGAACUCGGUGAUAAUUUGUUGGUAAUGUUAGUGAUCUGUUAUCCAUCAUCAUCUUUGCCACAAUUCUGUUUUUUUAUAUUGCUAUGAUUGUAGAGUGAUGGGAAGAGGUAGGAAGGCGCCUCCACUUCGAGCCACCUCCCCUCAAACCAUAACACUCCAAUAUAUACUCCAUAAACCUAUCUGGGCCACGAGGAGCUUGAUAUUAUUUUUUUGAAUCAGGCUUUGUAAAACAAAGCCACCUUAUUUUUAGAAGCGCGUCAGGCGGUCCAUCUCUAAAAAAUAGAUUUAUAGAGACGAGCUUUAUCUAUUUGGCUUCUAAAUGACUUCUAGAAAUGACGGUUAACAUACCCACCUGUAUAAAUGAUAUCUUGACUCUUGAGUAUCCUCAAAUCCUUUUUUUAUAGUGUAUCAAUGUUCUGUUUUGACACAAGUGCUUGUCAAUAUUAGAACGUUAUUUGCAUCUGGGUUCCCCGAAGUGAAAAGAGGUACAAACAGGAACGUGGGCAUGUGUCAUGCCUUUACGGCCUUUUUUGUACACUGUACUUGUCUACUGGGUGAAUGCACAUGUCACUGCAACCACACAAUUCAUCUGAGCCAGUAAAAUUAGUCAACAUGUCUCUUUUUUCGGUGUCUUCAUUUCUCACUACAGAUUAAACCUCCAUUGUAUCCCCAUGUUGUAUACGUCUCGUGUUAGUUGAGUUCACAAAUGAUCUAAUUGAACUAUAAAUCAAUGGGGGAAAGUUUCAAUUAGAUUCUUUUACAAGGGUGUUUCACCAAGAAUCUACUAGUUAAGGUUACAACAUGACGUAGUUUCUCUUUUUUUACUACUCCGGCACAUUUUUACGUCAGUAGCGCAUCAUCACAUAGGUGUGUGACAGUGUCGUCGUCGUCCGUCUCAUAUUUAGAUUUUUGAGUGGUGACAUGGCACGUAUAUAUAACGUCGCUCAUGACCCUAGUGAAUUGAAGUGUUCCGCCCAUAUCUUCUUUCGACACCGAAGGGCCCUGCUUAUCGUGAAAAAAGUAGUGUACGGUAUUAUCAGCCGAUUUUUGCAACAUGGAUUAUCCUAAUUGAACCAUAUAUAUAUAUAUAUAUAUAUAUAUAUAUAUAUAUAAAGCCAGUGUGUGGACUCCUUAGAACUUUAAAGCCCUCUCUUGGCUUGAAUUUAGGUGUUAUUUCUUUUCUUAAUUAAUGAAAACCACCUAGUUCCUUCUUCUAGGUUGGAUCUUGUUUUUUUAACAGUCUAUUCUUAAUCUCAACUGUAAAUUGUAUGUGCAACAUUAUUAGAUAUAUGUGAUGACAACAACUGAAGUUUCUAGCUUAGUGAAGAAAAAGCAAAUAAUCAUGGAUCGAGUUCAGCAAAAUGCAAAAUCAUUGCCCAUAUAUAAUAACUAGAAAACUAGAAACAGAACUCCAAUUUAUUUCCAUGAAAUGUUACACUGCAAUUAUAUAUAAGCUAUGAUUUCACGCUGUUGCUCCCCUUUAUUGUUUAUUUGAUCAUAGACACACUGCAAAGAGUGCUGGAAGCAGGUACACACAUAUAUGAGCGAUGAACAACACAUCACGGGAAGGGUUCAAGAAAAGCUCCGGGAGAAGAAUAAAUUCAAAUAUUAAAUACUGAUGAGGUUUUCUCCUGACUAAGCGUGAAACAAAGCUAGUCGGAAGCUAGAAUACUGUCGUGGGCAACGUACGUACGUGCAUGAAACUGGAGCUGUGGCUCGAGAUGUCCGUCUGAACUCUGAAGACCGAACCUCUUCAGUGCCCAGGGCCUCUAGGGCUCGGCCCUUGAGUGAGCUGCGCUACCCACACCAUGAUCAGCGACCUCGCCCUCUCAUGCAGCAUACGGUGGCCGGCGUAUUGCUGCCCCUCCGGCAGCCGCCUGGCCGCCUCCACGGAAGUGAGUAGAGUGGAGGAGAGAGCCACGGCGAGGAGCAAAACAGUGAUCAGGAUCCCUGCUCUGAACUCGGACAUCUUGGGCGAGAGAUUGACGAAGAAGCCUACACCUUUCUUGUUCUAAUGACCUUACUUGUGAGUGCUAGCUUUUUGUAGUAAGCUAGCUACGCAGCCACAAACUAACAGGAGUUUAUGCGUUAGAGAGGUAGUAGCUUUUGUGGCAUUGGCAUGGCUCUAUAUAUAAGCCCGUAGCACGAGAGAAUUAGUUUGUCUUGGCAUGUUUCUGUGCAGUUUAAAAAGCAUUUCGGUCUCCUCCCCUAGCUACUGCGCUACGCUCCAUCCUCCAAGCGUAUAGAACUGCAUUGCUUGCAUAAAACGAAUCUUUGAACUGUGAGUUUGCCUUAAUUGCGGUAGGAAAAACGAGGCUGAUCGCUCGUCUUUUCACGCGCGCGGACAGUGGACAGUUUGCACUAGCUAGUAUAGAGCAUGCCGUUUUGUAGCUUGGUUUCGGAGCAUGCAGUUUUUGUUGUAGCUUGGUUUCAGAAGUGGACAGUUUGCACUAGCUUAGGCCUUGUUUAGAUACGAAAACAUUUUGGAUUUCGUUACUGUAGCACUUUCAUUUGUUUGUGGCAAAUAUUGUCCAAUAAUAAAUUAACUAGGAUCAAAAGAUUUGUCUCGAGAUUUACAGGUAAACUGUGCAAUUAGUUUUUAUUUUUGUCUAUAUUUAAUGCUUCGUGCAUGUGCCGAAAGAUUCGAUGUGACAGGGAAUCUUAAAAACUUUUUGGUUUUCGGGGUGAACUAAACAACGCCUUAGUUUUAGUGGCAUUAUAGGAAGGACGACGAUCAUGUGAGCAAAGGUUAAACUGUUCUUGUAAACAACUAGAUAUACUACAUAUGUGAAAAAACUAAUUACCUGAGCUAGCACUAAUAUAAUUAGGGGAAGAUGUAGUGUAGUGUAGUGUAGAUCGGUAAUUUAUCUUCUAGUAGGGGAUAUAUGAGCAUUUGAUAGCUAUGUAUCUUUUUUAGUAAAUUUUAAAAAAAAAACUACAAAUAUUUUUACAUAUGCACUAUUCAAGAACUACGAGAGUGCUCGACUGCACUAGCUGUCGCGCGCUGCGGCUACUGCAGCCACAUGCUUUUGUUCACUAUAGCAAAAUCAUAUGGUUGUAGUUGCAGCGGUACAAGCCUUUUUUUUAAAAAAAAAAAACUACACAACCUUAGCAUGUAGUUUUAGAAACCUAUAGAUUGACAAUGUGGCCACACAUGUCAUUUCCCUGGUUAGUUUCUAGUGUUAUAUUAUUGUAUUUCCCCCCUCUAUAUAUUAUAUUCAAUAUAUAUAAAGAGCAAUGUUAUUUCAUUCCCAAGAAAAUAAAAAAUGGCCCCAUUUGUUCACACAAUUAAAGACGUGGUGCUUUCUUUAUUUCCACUAAAUCAAUGUAACUUUUUCUCAUUUGUAAAAUUUCUAAUAAGUUUCAUGGUACAUUUUGGAAGACAAAUGCAUCUGGGGGGCUUUGGUUCAUCGCCACAUCUAAUUAACUAACCUACUACUUCCUUCGUCUCAAAUUAUAAAUUAUUCUAAAAAUCUUAGAGAGUCAAAACAUCUCAAGUUUGACCAAAUUUAUAUGAUAAAAUAAUAGUAUUUAUGAUACCAACUAAGUAUUAUUAGAUUUUUCAUCAAUUAUAUUUUCAUAGUAUAUCUACUUGAUCUCAUAAAUUUUUAUAAAUUUUUUCUAUAAUUUUGAUUAAACUUAAGAUGCUUUAAUUUUCUAAAAUUAUUUUUAUAAUGUCUCAUAAUUUGGGACGGAGGAUGAAGUAACUAUUAGCGUUUUUGUGGCCACCGCUAAGCUCCCUACAGCUACAGAGCAGCAAGAGAAUCCAGAGGAUUUUCUGAUUCGUGUCUCAUCCUGUACAACUCGCUCCGUCUAUUUUUGAGCUCCUCGCAUCACAUGAACAUGCAUAUGCUUUGCCGGAUCCGAAGGAGUACACACGAUCGAGACCCCGUCACGCGGUCGCAUUUAGAGGUCUCGGAAAUUUAGGUGGUGAUGGAUCGAAGCUGCGUCCGGACGCCUCCCCUGCCAUUUAUUGUUUACCUCCCCCGACGCGCACCGUCGUGGGGUGUUGGGUUUCAGGGCCGCCGGCCGGGCAGCGCCAAGCACAAGAGCCCGCAAUCUCGCGCCUCCUGCCGCCGAAUACCGUGGCGAUGGAGUACCGGAACUAACCGGCCUACUCCUAGUAGUAUAUCCCUAUGGCCUCCUCCAUCUCCAGGCAUUGACCCUACGCAUUUGUCUAUGGGCCACAUGCCGAGACGACAAGCCAUGCAACGUGCAACGCUGUACUAACUGCUCUAACUACCUGCCACUUGCAGCGUGGAGGCACCACAUGAAUACUACAAGUUCUUUUUUAUAUAUAUUUCCUUUUCUUUUCCGACCGCCUUAUUGUCCCUGGAUAAAAAGUUUUUACAUAACGUAACACUUUUAUUUGUAAUUCAUAAUUAUUAUCUAACCAUAAACUAACUGGUCUUAAAAGAUUUGUCUCGUAAAUUACGGACAAACUGUGUAUUUAGUUAUUUUUUUAUUAAUUGUACACCUUUAUUACAUAUGUAAAUUAUUGUGUACAAGCUAACUGAUCAUAGAUCAGCUAGUUAGGUUCCUUGUGAUAAAACCUACCCACCCGGAUUCAAAUCCUCGACUAGGUACAAGGGCUCGUAUUUUUCUUGAUUUAUUCUAGAAUUUAACGGCACUACGCUUUCCGUAGUAGGCGACGUCUCUCUUGACAGCAAGGCGUCAGUGGUGAGACUUCACGAAUCUCGAGAUCUAUCAGUUCAGUCUUUUAAAAAUGCUCAAAAAUAGUUGGGUGAAGACAGGAGAGACACUAUGGGGCGACAGAGGAGAGUCGACUAGCAACGAGAAAUAAGCAAGACUCUCGUUCCUAGUGCCAGCUCUAGUUCGAUCAUCAGGAUGCAAUAUGUUUAAAAGGUAAGGUAGUGGCAAAUGUCCAUUUAGGUCAGGCUCAAUGCUCCAUUGUAACUGGUCGUCUGGUCGUUUCAUAGUGCCAAGUAGGUUUAGACAACAUGUGGAAGAGAGAGAAGGUGUAGUGGCUUGGACAGAAAAUAUGUUGAUUUAAGAGCAUCUGCAGUGUAUAGAUGCGGGGUCAUCUCUUUAGGCGGGUCCCACAGUGAUGUGAUGUCUUCUUGUAUUUAGUUUUCAAUGUAUAGAGAAUCAGGUUUGGAUCUAUAAUUGGACCCACUAUUCAUUACCAUAUGCCAAUCUCUUCUCUUUCCUCGUUCUGACUUCGCAUCCGCAAGAGAGAUAACUGAAUGGGAGCGGGUUCAUUGGAUAGGAGCUACUUCAUCGAAUCAAGCAUGCACUGUAUAGAACUCGGUCCUAUAGGCGCAUUUCUUAGAUCGAAUCGGCUAAAAAAUGCCCAUUGCAGACGCUCUAAGGAGAUUGAAGGUGGUUUAAGGAAAGAGAAGGUGGUCCAUGUAGAGGGGAAAGAAGGGUAGUGAACAUUGACUUGCAUCAGGUGAGGAGGGAGUGAGAUGUUGGCUAUAUAGAAAGAUAUGUUGGCCUGAACUCAUUUGUAUCUAGGUGGAAGGUACCUUUCUUCUGAAGCCAACAACAACAAGAAUGUGUGCCUAAGUUCGACAUUAUCUGACAUGUGCUGGUAGAUGAAAAACAAAAAUAAAAUAGAAAAAAAUGAGAAUGUCUCUUGUAUUGAAAUAAUUGAUACAUAUGAUGCCAAAUAACCAAAAGACUUGCGGAUUGGAUCUCUUAUUUGGUGAGAUCCACGUAUUGGGUGUCAAAUUCUAAAAUGUUUCGGAACCACCUGGGUUCUCUCAAUAUCAUUGAGGACCUGUUCGGUUAUCAGGGAUUGGACACUGGGAACAAUUCCAACUUAGAAUGUUGUGCUAAUUUAUACUAACUUUGAUUACAGGGAAUGAUUCCUAGAGAAAUUAUGUCUAAACGGACGAGGCAUGAGUGAACAAGCCAAAGUCUAGGAGGAGGAUGUCGUGUUGCAAGAGAAAGCGGAAAAUGCUCGAUGGUUCUCAAGUCGAGUAGAUGAUUUUUCUUUUAUGUAUUGGUUUCACUAAGAUCAUAUAUAAAAGAAAAUAGGUCCUCUCUGUCACGUCUCAAAAGGAGCUUUAACUUCUAUGAUGUUGUAGCGCUAUGUUACUAUAGUGCGAAGUUGAUGAAACUGUUUCCCACAAAAUAAAGUUGAUGAAACUGUUUCCAACAAAAUGACUUGAGUAAAUGAUGAAGUCGGAGAAGCUAGCAUUUUGGAGCUUCAUCCGGCUCAUGCUACAUUGGUUUUUGAAGCUAAUGCCGUAGAAGCCCUACCAAAAUGCCAGCAAAUUUAGGAUUGAAUUUUUUGAAAGAAAUUACAGUGAUUUUGUCCGGCUUCCAAACAGGACCGGGGGCAGUUGUAGUACUCAUGCGAGCCCUACCGAAGCCCAGGCUGCAAAGGCCCAGCACAGUCAGCAAUUUAGCAUCCACUCCCCUCCACUCCGCACGAACGAACGCAGAUGGGCCUCAGCCCCUCGAAGCGCGUGGACGCCGCGCUGCGCCGCGCGCCGGCGUUCGCCGCCGCCUGCGACGCCGCCUUCGACCGGUGCCUCGCCGUCGCGCAGCGCCGCUUCCCGGGCGUCCGCCGGUACCAGCUCGCUGACGCCGCCGCGCACCUCCACUCGGAGCUCAGCGCGUCCGUCCCGCUGGUCCGGCGCUGGGUGCCCUCGCCGCCGCCCCGCGCCCGAGUCGACGCCGCGCUCCGCGCCGCUGGGCUAGAGGACGAGGCAGAGCUCUCGCGGCUCCAGUUCCGGGAGUUUGCCGUCGAGCUGUUCAGGGAGGCCGUGCUGGCCGGAGCUGCGGACCUCCUCCGCGCCCCAGCAGCCGCGGCCGGGGUCGUCGGGAUAGGCAUGGUGGCUCGCGUCGCUCCCCCGGUGGUCGGGAGGGUCGUCACCGUCUGCGCCGCCGGCGUGGCCACCGCGGUUUACCUCAGCCUGGGCUAGUUUUUUCUGAGUGUUCCCCAAAUUCUAGAGAACCUGUACAAACCACUUCCACAGCUCUGCUGUGUUGUAAAUUGAACCUGAAUUCAGCGGCAGUUGUUGCAGUAAUGCAUUUUAUGAUCGGACUCAGCUCAAAUGCCAUUGAAUAGGCUGUGCAAUUGUUUCCCUGGUAGAAUUGACAUGGAAUCUCGGUUCACCAAUGUUUCUCUGACAAAUCACAUUCUUGGAAGCAUCGAGUAUUUCAACUAUAUGUUAUCUAUUAUCUGAUUUAUCUUCUUCUUGCUCUCUGUUCUUGCAAACUGCACUCAGGUCAUAAUUUUCUUUCUAACUGAAUUGUUCUAUGCUCUUUUCAAGUUCAACAUUCCACAAUGAUUGUGUCUAUUAUUGUAAAAUUUAGUUUACUCAACAUUGUUGUCCAUCAGAUCAGAUCAGAUGAGAUCAGAUCAACCACGAUGCAUAAAGGAUACCUGUUCUUCAUUGUUUUCUCUCAAUUUGCUCUCGUUACCACGUUUUCUUUCAGUACACCUAGAGAAUUUUCAGUGUCAUGUGUAACAAAUAUAGUUUGACCUUUUGUUCAAUUUGAUCAUGUAUACAGAAUUCAGAGAAACAUAAGGAUAAAAAGUAGAGAACAGAGAUAAUGUUAUGGUAAUCUCUUUUUAUCUUGGAAUUGUGAAGUCAGGUUAGGAGAAAUAUUUAGCUUCUCGAUAGUAGCAGGAACUAUGCUCUUCAGACCACAGCCAGGUGUUAUUCAUAAAGGUAGCAUUUAUUUUUUGGCAAAUCACUGAACUACUGAAAACAAAUUGCAUACAUAAAUAUUUCUUAAAUUUAAUUUUGGUCAACAGGCUCUCAUUUUCUUUCUCUUUAUCUAAACUCAUGCUGCAAGAAAUAGUCUUCAAACAAAAGAGGAGGAGGAUAUAAUACUUUGGCCUGAAGCUAUAAAGUAAAACAAAGUGAAUUAUUUUAGCCUUGCUUUGCUUUCUAGCUGAAUUUUGUUUUCGGCUUGAAGCUAUGGUCAAACAUUCUAAGAAUAUAAUUCUUUGAGGGGUCCUGUCAAUUGUUAUACCAUGUUGCUAUCUCUACAUUUGUUUUCAUAAUAUCUAUCAACUUUGAUGCAUAAAGCCACAAAGGAAUCAAGCUUAUUAUGAAUCGAUCACAAAGUCCGGCAUCUCAAACUAUACUAUAGUUCAACAAUAUUUGAUGCAUUGUGUUAAUUGUUGUCUUAAGUCAAAUUUCUAACUUUCAAUGGCUUGCCGCCCUCCUGAAAUUCGCCUUGCUGCGAGCUUUAGAGAUACUGCUCAGCUGUGGAAAUAUCGUUUGCCCAGGGAGGAUCGCUUUGUUGUACGGCAGUGGUGUAAUAUAGUUUCAGCAUGAAUUAAACCCUCGAUGUAUUUCAGGCUGUAAACCCGCUUGUAUAACUGCUACUCAUGUAUUUCAGCUGCAGAGCUUUUUGCUGCUCCUGAUCAAUCAAUUGGUAGGGAGCACUCCUCCCCUCCGUUUCCCUCAAAAAAAAAUCUCUAACAACUUUGAUCAAGUUUGUAGAAAAUGCACCAUCAUCUACAUUAUCAAAUUAGUUUAAUUAAAUUCUCUAUGAAAUGUGUCUUGAUGAUGUAUAUAUUUAUUUGAACUUGUAGAUAUUAAUAUAUUUUUUUGAAAGCUUAGUCAAAAUUAGAGAAGUUGCCUUAGGACAAAGCUAAAAUGAAUUAUAGUUUGAAACAGAGGGAAUAGCACAUAGCUACUUGUACAUUCUAUUUUCAAAGCCUUAUUGGUUGGCUACCAAAAUUUGUUAUGCCAAGGAUUUGAAAAGCCAUGAUUUUGGCUAAUAUUCGGUUGGCUACCAAAACUUGCCAACUUCUCACAUUUAAUCGGAAAACAACAUGUGUCAUUCAUUUUUAUUAUUUUUGUUAAAUUGUGACAUGUCUGAAGAAAAAGAUUUCAUCAGUCCUGAAUGGGCCGAAAGAUGAUGCCCUAGGAGGCUUGGACGGUGGCAUUUAAGCAUUAUAAGGCGGAUUCUCCAAUGGGCCUAAGCCUGGACAUUGCACACUUCAGUGUACCGCAUGUGUAGUUUACUGGCAUAUGGCCGGUCCAUCCAAUAGUGCAGCACUCUGCACUUUAGGAUCUACGAAUGUCCCCACGUCUGACGUGCUUCGCCCUCUUCUGUUUAGUUCUAACCAACCAAUAUAGAGUACUUGUUUAGUUCUAAAAGAACAGCCAGGAACCAACCAAUAUAUAUAGGCCUUGUUUAGUUCUAAAUUUUGUAAAAUUUUUCAGAUUUCCCGUCACAUCGAAUUUUACGGCACAUGCAUAGAGUACUAAAUAUAGAUAAAGAAUAAUUAAUUACACAAUUUGUCUGUAAUUUGCAGACGAAUCUUUUUUAGCCUAUUUAGUCUAUGAUUGGACAAUAUUUGCUAAAUACAAACAAAAGUGCUACAAUACUCAUUUUGCCAAAAAAAAUUUUGAAGCAAUAGUUGCGGAACUCAGUUAGGCAGAACAUUUCAGCUAGCCGGAGGACCAUUUUCCCUUCCAGGGAAACCUAGGGUACUCCAGCUAGGCUACCACUACCACGCCCCGACGGACUCCCAAUCGACUGACAGACAAAUGGAUCUCUGCUAGUAACUGCUAGCUGAACCAAAUGGGGUAAGAAACCAAACCCACGCAUGCACGCACCGGCACCGGCCACCUAACUCGUGGCCUAGCUAGUCGCCGCGCCGAGCCAAGCAACGCUGGGUUGGAGAAUAUCCUAUUCCAGCUCACGCGCCGUAGCGCGUAGCGGUUGGUGCGGUGCCGAGACGUCGUCACGUCACAUGGACAUGGCCGCGCGCGACGGGGCAAACGCUAGCUCUGCCCGCCCCCGCGCGCCCCGCUUGCGGACUUGCCGAUCCGCGACUCGUUCGAGCUAGCGGCGUCGCGCGUCGUUGGCAGCGGCGCCGCGGCCGGGCACGCGAUGCGAUGCGAUUCCCGGCCCGGCCUCUGCCUCUCGGUCGAAGCCGCCACAUGGAAUUGAAUGGUAUCACACGUACGCCUGAACGCCUCCCUCAGUCCCUCUGCUGAUGCUGUGAUGUCUCUCUCCGCAACCGUCUUGCGAGAAGCCUUUUGGCGUCGAUGACAGGCACAUUUAACGGCCCAGAAACGGAUGGAUCGGAGCGGACGAUUCACCACCAUCAUUGAUGUUGCUUCACGAGGUUGGACAAGAGGAUGUGUUAGGUUUCCGUGCCGUACUACGAACUACGACAUAGAACUGAUUGUUCUGCGCCUUCUUGUUCUGCAGCGUUGCUGCCACUGUCGUUCGCUGCAAACUCCUGCCAGGGAUAGCCUGGCUGUCAUUCUUUCUGAAUUCUGAUCAGGUAGAUUCGACAGUGAAGCACAAGCACUACACUCCGGCGUGCGUGUGGCCUGCACAAGCAUGGACCGACAGAGACCAUCGGAGGGCACCGUUAAUAGGCAGGCGAGGUGUGAAACCUACAGUAUUCGAGAAGUAGCCUCGGAGGUAAGCGAAGGUGGCAGGGAAGCCGAAAAGUAGUUGGACACUACCGAAGCGGUGAGCUGGGGCUGUUUCUUUCAGUUCCACUUCCACUUCCGUCGGCGAUCGAUCUCCGAUCCUUUUGCUCGCGCACGCCAUGGUGGUUUUCCUGCGGCCUUUCAGGCUUUUCUUUUCGCUAGCUUAGGAUCUCCUUGCUUCCACAGAUCGCACUCACACGCGAAACAGGUUGUCUGCCUAUCUUAUCAUGUGAUCGACCUCGCGCUUUAGACAGGGCAUUCAUGUGAUGUUUUCGGUUACAUGAUGAGUGAACUUUAGCUAGCAAGAUGCAUCAGAAUCAGAUUUUAUUUCUGCGUCCUACAGAAUUAAAUUAAAGGAGAAAAAAAACGCUGAGAUGACAGCUUCUAGAUGAUGGAUUUAUUGAUUCAUCCAGGAAAUCGGAUUGAUUGACUAGAUCAAAUGGCGACGGGCAAGCAGCACGGAGUAACAUGCAUGCGUGCGUGUCCUGCGGUUCAACUGAACCCGGCCUGGCCGGUCUCUCUCUGAUCCUCUGUUUAUCAUGUGAGGUAGCACUCUUGGUCGUAUAAUCAGCAGGAUCUCCAAGAAUAAUGUCCAUGGACUUAACAACGGCGUAUAUAUGUCCACACGAGAGACACGGUGAGGAGGGAAAAAAACGACGCGUUCACUACCCUGCUUACAUAGUCAGCGUUGACCUAAUGUUGUGAUCGGUGAGCUAAACUGGUCGGUCGUAUCAGCUAAACGUAGAGAAUGCAUCACCGAAAUUCAUCGAUCUAAUGUUCAGAACCAACUAUAUGGUGCAACUGCAACCUUUUCUUCCAAAAUCAUGUUGCGCUUUAACCAAACAGACCAGUACCCUGCCCUGCUCAUGUCAAGUAACACAAUCUGACCUGAUCGUAAAUGUCAAGUACUACCAUGAGCAGGAGAGACAGAGAACUGAUUGCCAUGCUUCCACAAAAUCCUGAUGACAUAACUCUUUACUUGUUGGAGGGCCUUUGUUUAUUGUUUACCCUUAUAAGAUUACCAGGCUUUCAUUACAAUGUUAUCUGCACGAGCCGAACGUAAACUCAGGAAAAUAACCUAGCACAAGGAAAGAAAAACACAAAGCUCACACCCUUGCUCCAAGCCACACAAGGAGUCAAUGGCCUACAUAAAAAUCGCUCACGACUUCUUUUCACUAGAAAUCGCUCACGUCAUGAUACUCCGUUAUGACGUCAAUGCGUCAAGCUGAAACCCUACGCUGCGCAAGCGCUCGCAUUACGACUUUGGCCUUGUUUAGUUCACCUCGAAAACAAAAAAAUUUUCAAGAUUUUCCGUCACAUCGAAUUUUAAGCACAUGCAUGAAGUAUUAAAUAUAGACAAAAAUAAAAACUAAUUGCACAGUUAUCUGUAAAUUGCGAGACGAAUCUUUUGAUCCUAGUUAGUUCAUAAUUAGACAAUAUUUACCACAAACAAACGAAAGUGCUACAGUAGCGAAAACCGAAAAGUUUUCAGAACUAAACAAGGCCUUUAUAUAUCUUUCCACUUCCGUGUCAAUAUCAUGGCACUUUAUGAAUGGGGAGUUCAACGCUAGAAAUGGUAAUAUGGUAUGGUAUGAUACUUUGGUGUCCAAUUUGGAAAGAUACGAAAGAUCGUUUGAACAAUCUGUCUGUCAAAUUCCUAACCGAGAAAGAUUCUAACCUUUUCGAGUGUUUUAAAGCAGUAGGACACUUGAUUCAUUUUAACCGUGGAUGAAGAUCAAACGCUCCAUCUUUCUUCUACAUCCAGUCCAUGGUCGUUCACCGUGUCUCCGCGAAAUGCCUCGCCGCAGUGUGAUAGGGUCUCACCGAGCCGCAAAGCUUCAGCGAGACCCUACUGCACCUGCGCGAACCUCCUCCGCCUUCCCCUCCCCUCCCAUCGUCAUGGCCAUGGUCGUCCCCGCCCAACCUGGCCCGGCCUCCACCUCCGCCUUAGCACCAUCUCUCUCGCCCCACCGCCUAGCAUGGUUGCCUCCCCUAAUUCCUUUUUCUAAGCCUGUCAGAAUUGGAGAAGAAAAGAGAGAGAUAAAGAUAAAAGAAAAAAAUGAGUGUUGGAUUGCUCCAAAAACACUCGUGUUGUAUAGCAUUUUUGUCAAGAAAAAAAAAGAUACAACUCUCUCCGACCAACAAACAUUUCAAAUUCUUGUGCAAAUUUCUAUUAUUUCUAAGAGUGAGCCUCACAUUUUCUACUAGAAACCAGCCUCCAUGACGUGUGCUCUUCAAAUCUGCUUACAAAUGCUGGCAGUCGAGGAGGCAUCGAGUCAUUCCCCAUCUAUAUAGUGUGCUGUUACAAAUUUCUAGAUAGGUGUGGACAGAUAAAACAAUUCAACCUCAGGUUAAAACUUUUGUUCGGAAAUUACUCAACGGUCUAUGCCUACUUUCUUGCAUAUUUCAGCUGAUUCUAGAGCUUUUUUGUGACGCCUCUUUAGGCAAGGGGUCCUUACUCCAAACCAAAUAUGUGUUAGGAUUUUAUUCAUAUAACAUCUGCAAGAAUUGUUUCACGUGCAUCAUUUAUUUCAAGUGGCCAUUCCUUAGGUUUUGGAACCCUUGAAGGCUGAAAUUCUUGCCCUUUCUUGUUGCCAAACUGGCUACAACUCUCAAUUUGUAGGAUCGGAUGCAACUCUAGUCUGUUCGCUUGAGAUUAUCAGCCGAAUCUGUUAGUCUUUCGGAGUACUUUCUAGCUUAUCAGCCAAAGGAACAGGAAGACAAUCAGAUGCUAAUAAUUAUGUAUUCUGCUGGUUCGCCUUGUACUUAUCCAAGUGAUUGAGCACUGCAACCUCUACUUUCUGAAUUGCAUACAAUUAGUUAAGGCCUUGUUUAGUUCAUCCCAAAAACCAACAAUUUUUCAAAAUUCUCCGUCACAUCGAAUCUUGUGGUACAUGCAUAGAGCACUAAAUAUAGAUGAAAAUAAAAACUAAUUGUACAAUUUACUUGUAAAUUGCGAGAUAAAUCUUUUCAGCUUAGUUAUUUUAUAAUUGGAUAAUGUUUGUUAAAUAAAAACAAAAGUGUUACAGUUUCAAAAACUAAAAAGUUUUUGGAACUAAACAAGACCCAAGUGAGAAAUCUGAGGACAUCAAGAUCGGAAGAGCGUCAAACAAAACAGAUGACACACUCGUAAAAAAAAAUCCCAGGCUCUUGUCUGCCAAACAUUAGCUUGAUCAUUCGCCAAUUCGUAUAAUGUCGCUCAAAAGCUGGAACAUUUUGAAUAGGGCGAUUUUCGCUCCAUUCUGUUGUACGUUUUGUCUGUGAUGCAAUAGAAACACGUAAACAAAAAGUCCAGACGAGUUUUUUUUUUUAGAGUCCAGACGAGUUAUUAUGGCACCAAGAUCCUCGAAGGUUAAGGCCUUGUUUAGUUUUCAAAAAUUUUCAAGAUUCCCCGUCACAUCGAAUUUUGCGGCACAUGCAUGAAGCAUUAAAUAUAGACAAAAAUAAAAACUAAUUAUGCAGUUUACCUGUAAAUCGCGAGACGAAUCUUUUGAUCCUAGUUAGUCUAUGAUUAGAUAAUAUUUGCCACAAACAAACGAAAGUGCUACAGUAGCGAAAUCUAAAAUUUUUCUCAAACUAAACAAGGCCUAAGUGGAGAUUCAAGGCUGAGUGCGUGCUACUACCGGGGACGGUAAGGCGAGUCUCAAUGGCCCGUUUCAAUACAAUGUUUUUAAAACAGAUCUGCUGACAGAGCAUCAAUGAAACAAACAAUGAAACAACCUCCACAAUGCAUGAGUUUCACUUUGAUGUUUCCUAGGCUGGGCAAAGCAUUUAAUUACUGCAAAAUGAUUGGAUCAAUGCAAGAUGGUGAAAUGAUUUAGUCCUGUUUCACCGCGUGGGAAACAACGCCAGUGGAGUUUCACCAUAGUGAAAUUACUUUCUUCUCUCUUCUCAUCGUUUCAUGUAAAAAAAUAUAGUUUUAUUGACAAGACGCUCUAAUAAAUAUACAUGACAUCCUUAUAAAACUUCCACUGACACUGACCUAAUGGCCCAGACAGGACGCCGGACGCGCGCACCCUGGAAAACCAAUGGAUUGAUCCGCGGCAGGGCGCAUGUGCACCCGCAUCUUUCUUUAAUCCGUGCAGCUAAACCGUGAGCUGUUCCUGCGCACAAUAAUCAUCUGGGCCAGCCUUUCACAUCCCAAUCCCAAUCCCCACAAACCCCCUCCAUCGCGGACGACACCGCUGGGGCACCGCCGGUGCCGGUCGCGUCGCGCGGCCUUUUGCGCCCCUUUUCUUCGCUGUUCGGCAGCUCAGCCCACCAGCCUCGGCGGAGAACCGCGGUCCGCGGCACGCACGCAGCAAGAUCUGUCUCUCUCUCUCUCUCCCUGUGCUGUGCUCAUGUAAAUUCUAGCCAGCUCUUUGAUGCUCUACCUCCACGGUUAGCCAGGGCCCGCCGGCCCUACGGGACAAGCGACAUGUUGGUGCCGUAUGUGGUGUAUUGGGUUGGAUUUGGAUUGGACCUGAUCCCGAUUGGUUCUAGUGUGCACUCCCACGCAACGGCUUCCCCCCGGCUCGGAUGGACCCGGACGCAGCGCAGGUGCAGGUGUCCCUAUUCAUCUCAUUCUUGGUAGUACUGCAGCAACUUGGGAGCAUACUAGUACUAUGUCAGUUGUGCGUCUGUGCCUGGGUAAAGAGCGCGAGAAAGACCCUCGUUUUCUAUACCAAGUUGAAGGCCGUCGUCACGAUUAGAACUGGCAAUUCGUUGAUUGCCGCCAUGUGCACAGAACAGGCAGCAAGCAUGACGAAACCACCAACCGGAGCACACACUGCCACAUGGUGACACAUAUAUAUAUACACACGCGCACAGACGCUUCCGAGGACAGUAGCAGCAGCAGCAUACUCCUACGCGAACGGGGCGAAUCGAAUCGAUCGAUUAACGGGCGGCGGCAGUCACCGUGUGUGACCUGCCAAACUGUCUCAGGCCCCGCCUCAGCCUGCACGGCCUGGCCAGUGGCCAUCCAUCCCUUCGCUUCCACGCACCAAUCUUGUCCCGGCGCCUGCCAAAUCCAGCAAGGCCACAUCCCACCCGAGACAGGGCAGCAGGCAGGAACAGAGAGCAGUUGCGCACUAGCAGCAGCAGCAGCAGCAGCAGCACCCGCUGAUGGGACGCGCGGCAAUGGCGGCCUCUUCCGGGACGACGACGCGCUCCGUGCGCCUGCUGCUGCUCUCCCUGCUCGGCUUCUGCGUCGCGCUGAGCCACCAGGAGUCGUCGUCGUCGUCCACGGACUCGUGCGCCACGGCCAAGGUCGCCGUCGCCAGCCUCGUGCCCUUCGACUCCACCUCCUUCCGCUGCACCGCCGCCUGGAAGCAGCAGGACUUCGUCCUCAGGGUAUAUGCCUGUCUCUGCUGCUCAACCAUUCCCGAUUCUCUUCCCCUGCUGGUUGUUUUUUUUUCGUGUGUCUGUUCGUCGUCGCUGGGAGUCCUCGGAUUCGUUCUAGGCUAGUAGAUCCCACUGCCAUUGCACUCCUUCAGAGCUCGGAGCUGCCAGUCCGAUCUGCGAAUUGUGGAGCUCAUUCAGUGCGCCGCGCGCGCAUUGCAUCGCCGUCACCGUCACCGUCGGGCACGGUGAGGUAAUAACAGCCCGAUCUGACCCCGAAUUACGCCUCCUGUUCGUGCCGGCAGUACAAGAACACGGGGCCCAGCGAGUGGAGCUUCAUCCUCUCGGCGCCGGACAAGGGCUCGUACGUGGCGGUCGGCUUCUCGGGCAAGGGCGCCAUGGUCGGGAGCAGCGCCGUCGUCGGGUGGGCGUCCAACGGCAAGGGCACCGUCAAGCAGUACUACCUCGGCGGCAAGAGCCCCGAGGACUGCGCCCCGAACAAGGGACUCCUCAAGCUCGUCAAGAACAGGUCCGUCGUCGUCUCGCGCUCGGGGCGCCUCUACGUCGCCUUCCAGCUCAGCACCGACUACCCGCAGCCGUACCUGAUCUUCGCCGUCGGGCCCGACGGCAACCUGCCGCAGUCCGACUCCCUGCGGCUGCCGAUGCACCAGAACAUGGCCUCCCGCUCCUUCAACUACACCUCCGGUAACGCAGUUUUUUGCAAUUCCUCACUCCGAUUUGUCGAAUCGCCAAAUGCGUGCGUGAGCGUGACAGAGGAUCUCGUUCUUAAUAACCUGUGUGUGCUCGCUUGCUCAUCACUCAUCAGGGAUGUCUUACAACACCGCCGGCUCGUCCGGCGACCAGGCGGCGUUCCCGACGGAGAGGAAGCACGGGCUGCUGGGCAUGAUGGGGUGGGGCGUGCUGAUGCCCAUCGGCAUGAUCACCGCGCGCUACUUCCGGCAGCUGGACCCGUGCUGGUUCUACACCCACAUGGCCAUCCAGGUGUGCGGCUACGCCAUCGGCAUCGCGGGCAUCGUCCUCGGCUUCCGCAUCAACGAGGACGGGCUCAAGAACGUGGACGUGCACAAGGCGCUCGGCAUCGCCGUCUUGGCCAUGGCGUCUCUUCAGGUACGCAACGCAACGCAACGCAGCGCACCAUGGAAAAGGAAAACCAGAAAAUUGCCUGAGUUAUAGUACAGACUAGAAAAGAUUAACAAACAGCCUCUGUAAUUAACACGGGGAAAAGUGAAUAUAAAUCAUGAUAAUAAUUUGUACUGGUAUAUCCACUUUCGGUUGGUUCGGCACAUGCGUACGGGGUGUGGAUUGGAAUCUGCCGCUAUUGCCAGGCUGGAUAAAACAGCAUGGUUUUAUGGGGUUUGUUUGUAGUAACUGAGUAGUUGACCGUGAUUAAGUACAGUAGGACUGAAGAAGUGAGAAUAGAGGAUUCAAAAAAGAAAAGUGAGGAUAGAGGCUUCCAUUUUUGCUGACGGCAGAGGCUAGACAGACAAUGCGCACCGUAGCCUCGCAUGUUCUUUGAGAGCUGGCAGGUGAUGGGUUCCGAGAAAGUGGCUAGAGUAGCUCCGCGCACUCGCAGCAUUCUCAAUUGUUUAUGCUUCGAAUCUUCGACCACCGACGAAAAUAUGGCUCAACUCGACAACUCAAGUGUGGCCUUGUUUAGUUUAUAAAUUUUUUUUGGGUAGCACAUUUUUUUAUUUAGUAAUUAUUGUUCUACUAUAGAUUAACUAGCAAUCAAAUUGUAUAUUUAGUUAUUUUUUAUCUAUAUUUAGUGUUUCAUGUAUGCGUCAAAAGAUUCUAUAUGUUAGAAAAUCUUGAAUUUUUUUGAAAAUUAAACAAGUCGUGUGUGUGUGUGAAAGUUGUCGAGCACUGAAGUUGACCUUGACCCUAGUGAAACUGGUUUUACUGUCUCGAUCGAGUCCCUAACGAGGGGCCCAACAUCAUAAAAGUCCAUUUUCAAAUGAACUAGGCCUUGUUUAGUUCACCCAAAAAGCAAAAAGUUUUCAAGAUUCUCCGUCACAUCGAAUCUUGUGGCACAUGCAUGAAGUAUUAAAUAUAGACAAAAGUAAAAACUAAUUACACAGUUUAGCUGGAAAUCGUGAGACGAAUCUUUUGAUCCUAGUUAGUCCAUAAUUAAAUUAUAUUUAUCACAAACAAACGAAAGUGCUACAGUACCGAAAUCCGAAAUCUUUUCGGAAGUAAACAAGGCCCUAGUGGAAAAAUGAGUACGUAGUGGCUAUUGGUCUUGUUGCUUUUUUUCGUGCUGUGCUGAUCGAUGUAUGUGUGCUUUGUUUGAUACAUACACCAGGUGCUGGCGAUCCUGGCGCGGCCGGACAAGACGUCCAAGGUGCGGCGGUUCUGGAACUGGUACCACCACAACAUCGGCCGCGCGACGAUCCUGCUGGCCAUCGGCAACAUCUUCCUGGGCCUGUCCAUCGCGCAGGAGGUCAGCGCCUACGUCGUCUCCUACGGCGUGUUCGUCGCCGUGUGGGUGGUCGCCGUCGCCGCCUUCGAGAUGAAGCGGUGCUACGCCGACGACGACUGACGUACGGUCGACGCCGAGCCGUGGCAACGGCGAUGCGUACAGUCAGUUCGUUCAUUCCGAGAACAACAGCUGGCCAUUGAUAGGACGACGAAGUUGAUGACGUAAAUUAAGCGUUCACGAUCGACCAGUGACGUGACAGUGUGACACACACAUACACCAUUCUUGUUACGUAGCUCGCAGCUGGACAGUGCUUUGGUUGGCUAAAAUUUGUUUUUUUUUUGGGGGAGGGGGGGGGGGGGGGGGGCGGGUAUAGGAUGUGAAGAAGGGGCCGGACUGCUUGUUUCUAGCCUAGCUGGACGCUCUGCUGAUUCAUAUAUUUUGUACAUUGGUACAUGGUCAUGUUGUGUUGUACCCUUUUGGACGACAGCUUGUUCUUCACCUUUUUCUUUUGGUUACCACCGUGCAUUGUUCAAUGAUACUGCUUACUCGCUGAUUCCUGGACACAGCUGUAGUAUGUGCUGAGAUUGGCAUGCCUUGAAAUCUUUAUGCGUCGUUUCAGAACGGCACCAACCGGUAGCUACGUGCUGUAGUGUUGACUGCUCUGUGGUGUGUACCAGCACCGACCACAAAUGGAACGAUCAAGCCCGUGAAUCAUGGGCGGAUCUAUAUAGGCCGUAGUGGCUGUGGGCGUACCCACAAAUAUAUCAAAAAAACAGUAAUUAUAAUUAAAUUUUUACCAUAUUCAUAAAUCCUACCCAUAAGGUAAGCACAUCUCCUCGUAUUCACUCUACCUCCGCCGCUGCCGUGAAUCCGUGAUUAGCCGCUGCUGGCGGCGCGACAUUCCCGACCGUGUUGCGGCGGCAGGAAAAUCCGCGAAAUUCUGCGGACGGGGGCGGGCACCAGAUGGCUGAUGGACACAGCCGCGGCGGCCGGCGGAAGCCCCACGCGGCGCGCACGUCCGAAUCCCCAGCCGACAGGCCGCGGGCUGAGUCCACAGGCCAGCCGGCACGUCCGCACGUACGGCGAGGACGCGCGGCUGAAUGGCCGUGCUCACGCCGGGUGCAAAAGUUGCCGACGGGUCGCGUCGAAUCAGCCCGGGCUUAUCGAGGCUCAUCGCCUUCAGAGUCACAUCGAAUCAGCUAAUGCUUAUCGAACAUCAUCGCCUUCAGAUGGUGGUGACUAGGAUCCGACGACACCUCACCAAGAAUAGUAAGACGUUGUCACCACAAAUCGGACCAAACUAAUUUAAGCCACAAUUUGUAACAGACAGCUAGGACCAUCAACAGGCUAAGGUGGUCCAGACCAUCAUGUUUAGUUGCUUACACAGGUCAAGCGGACAGCAAUGUUUUCGUCCAUGCCAUUUUGCUGAAACUGGGGCAUAUAGACCUGGCGCUAAGGUUUAUCUUGACCUUGGAUUCUUGGGUAACGGACACAAGGUUUAUCUUGACCUAUUGCAAAGACCCAUUGUCAUUCUGCUCUUGCACAGAUGCGCGAACUGCUCCAGGGACAAAGCCAUGGCUAGUUACAAUAAGCAUCCGGCACGGUAAAUGACUCAGCUUGGUCCAUCAGCACUAAAGCUUACAACCAAAUGGGAGCUACAGGCUGCACAAAAACUAAGUGCCUCAAACAAUCUGAAGUUUACCUAGACACCACGCUAAGCGAUGCAUGAAUCGCUCAGUCAGACAGAGCAAACAUUAUUUCUAACAACUGACAAUCUCAAGGUCAGGGUUCACUCUUGACAGCAUGGCUGUCUGAGGCGCCUGCAUUUUGAGCAUGUGAUGACAUGGCAAACCCUCUCAUCUUUAGGUCCACCGGGAAUGGAUGAGCCUCCUGCAGCAACUGGUGCUGCUGCUGCAAAUGCGUCUGCUGUUGCUGAUGUUGGGAGUGGAUCUGGAGCUGCUGCAGCUGCUGAGCAGCCAGAAGAGACUGUAUAUGGCUCCGCUGGUAGCUUUGUGGAUUGCCUCCAAAUGACGACAUACUAAAGUUUCCCAUUUUUCCAAUGUUGGCAUUUACCUGUCCUGUUGCAACCUUCAGCUGCUGAAUCUCGUCUCUUAGCCUGUCGUUCAAAGCUGCAGGUAGACAAGGACUAGUUACAAUACUAGAGAUGGAUAGCUUCCCAAAAUAGCUAAAAAUGAUAUAAUUUUUUAUUAUAAGUCUCAAAUGACAAUGAACUAAUGUUAAUAUCCUUAAAUGACUGUUUAGCAUGCUUCACAUUUUCCUUAAUUUUAUAGUAUAGCCAAACCGACAACUUCAGGACAAUCUUUUCAAUUGCAAAUUUUGCAAGUUAUUCCUUCUUUUCACUUUUCUUUUGUAGGGUGGGGAUGGGUGGUAUAAUCAAAUAUACAUCACACAAGUGUGGCAUUUCAUUUCUAAAACUUCAACUUAUUCACUUUGGAUGCAAAGAAAAUUAUAUAAAAGCCUUACCAUCCUGUAGCCGAACCUGCUGCUCCAUUGUCUGCACACGUACCUUCAGAUCACUAUUCUCGCUUGUCAAACCAGUGGUAUCUCGCUGUAUCAUACAGAUAAUCAAUUAUAAAGUUGUAGGAAAAGGGGAAACAGGUAUUCUGAAAACCUAAAACUACAUCAGUGCCGUCUAUGUUCUACAUGUAGGCGGUAUGAGCAUGAUGAGAUGGAGGAUGUGACCGGUGACUAUGGAACUGGGGGAGGGGGGCAAAAGGAGGGGAAGGCUGAAAGGUUGAAAAAACACAAGGUUAUUAGCCCUUCGCUUCUAUUUUUCUAACCAAGAUACAUCUUCUCAAUUGAGCUUAUCUGCUGAAUCUGUCAGCCAUUCAGCAAUGUUUUUCUCUCACAACAAAUCAGUACUUUCAGUCAUGGCUUUUCUGCCAAGCGAACAGGGCAGCAAUAAAUCAGCCAGCCAACAUCAGAAAUCGAUUCGAUGAUGACGCGCUUAAGAGGAAGAAUCGUCAGCUGUUUGUGCAGCUCAAGUUUGGAGCUCCAUCUCUGAUCUGAAGUUUGUAUGCUAAAAUCAGGAAUCUUGAGACUACCUUUGUCUAGAAUAGAAAGAAAACAGCUUAACCAAACAACUCAAGUAUACCCACAGCUCUAGAUCCAUAGAUUCCAGAGCUAGGAAUACCUAGCUCCAAGAAAUCCACAAUUUUCCAGGAGCUAGAACUCUGUCAAACAAUGCUGAAGGAAACUAUAAAUGGGAUUUUAUAGAUAUGAUCUGAACUUUCCAAACCGAACAAUGAUGAACUUUCUAAAUAAACAAUGACUUGGUUUGGAUGACAAGCUGGCAACGGCAGGGGCAGCCUCCUGGUAGCAGUGUGGGGGGCUGGUCACGACUGUAGGGCAUGUUGCCACCCUCUUGGGCUGCUGGCUGCCCGUGGGCUUUGUCACCCAUAAGGCCAUAACAGUCGGGUAAGAUUACCAAACAGAAAGCAAAGCACAUCUUAUGAUUAUUUGCAGAACAAGCUUCAGGAGUAAAGCAUGAUCUUCUUUUUUAAAGAAAGAUAUCUUAUACUAUACUCAAGCCUGGAAAACUAAUACCCAUAUGCAGACACAAAUAUUGUAGAGUUGAAGAACCAAAGCCACAAAUAUCUAAUGUAGAACUGUUAAUAAAUGCUCAAAAGAUUGCAAAAGUAAUCCAUGUAUAAAACUGCCUAUGUAUUCAAAAUCCUUGUUGAGUGUUGACUGUUCAUGAGACUAAGCAACUGUGACUCUGAGUAGCAACCAAAUUGCAGAUUAUAACGUAGACAUUUAUCUAACAUGUCUCCGUAUUUAAAAAAAUCGAGAAAAGGUAAGUAUAACUGUACAAGUGAAGAACCUGCAACAUGGCCAGCUGAGCUGAUAGUGUAGUUGCUUCUGACUGGAGAUUCUGCACUUUCCUUUCAAGCUCUGCAAUGUAGCGCAUCUUUCUUUCUUUUGACCUAGCAGCUGACUGGCGGUUUGCCAAAAUCCUAAAAUGUGCCAUGAAAGUAAUUACUUGGUCACUGGAGCAAGAGAUCUAAUUACCAUAACCAAAAUACACAUCUAGACUGCUGACAUGUGUUAUCAUUCAACCACUCAUGCAGUAAAAAAACUCCAGAAUUCACAUGAUUUGAAUAUACUAAGCUACAUGGAGCAUAAGCUUGUUACAAAUUACAGCUCACAAAAUGCUAUUGCCCCCGCUCCAAAAAUGUGUUAUAUAUAUGACAGUAUGCUCCAUGAUAAAAAAAAAAAGGGGGGGGGGGGGGGGGUCUGAACUUCGAACAAAUCUAAAUGGGCACACAAUUGGGAUCAAGAGUACUAAACUACAGUGAUGCAUUAACAUGAGCAUUCCAAUAUUUUUUAGAAUAUACACUCCCGGUGCCUUCCCACAAGAUAGAGAAUGAAUACCUACUGACAAUGACAUGACAUGGUCUGGUACUCAGGUAUAGUGGUAUAAAGAUAUCCACUCGACUAGCGGACCAAUUACAAGGUUUAAUUCAUUCAUAGGACUGGAAAUUGAAGUGCUCAAUUAUAUUAUCAUCGUGUCAACAGCAUAGAGGACUACUACAAUUCUUUGCCAAUCAAGAUUGAUUUGAAGUACCACAACUUAAUGGACCUAUGAGUGGGUCAAUGAUGAACCAAGAUUGCCUUUCAUCUAUGAUAUAUUGAUAUCGACAGUCCAUGGUGCUAUAUAUUCUGCUGGAUCACAAUCAGACCAAAAGUUCUAGCAGGUCUAAUUUCAAUCUAUUUACCAGAUUCCACAAGUUCCUUUCACACUCGGUUCCUGUGACUCUUUUGCAGGAGCUCCGCUCUUUAAAAUUAGCAGUAACAGUAUCCUCGGACCUCGGGUGACCAGUCCUUGUCAAAUGCCGCCACAAUCAAUAUCAUAUUCGCCCGAUUGCUAUUACCAACCGGAAAUACUACAAAGGUGACAGACGACAACCAUAGUCGCAAAUAGAACAAGGGGCAGCUCUCCUCCACAGGAUGCUGUUAGAUUUCUCACCUCUUGGCGCGCUUGGGGUCAACGAGCGCGAGCUCGGCGAGCUUGGCGUCGGAGAUGGCCUUCUUGGCGUCAGCGCCCGCCCUCCCAGGCGUCCCCGCGGCGGCGGAUCCAAGCAGGGACGUGGAGCCGUCCAUCGACAUGCUGUGCUGGUGCCGUGGCCGCGGCGGCGGCGUCGCCGUCGCCGCCGGAUGCGGGUGCGCCGACGGCCCGGCGAGCGUGCCGCCGUUCUCGAGGAACAUCUCGAACAUCCGGCUGCCGCCAGCGCCGCCGCCGCCCCCUUCCUCGUCCUCGUCCUCGUCCUCCUCGUCCUCGUCGCCGGCCACGCAGGCCUCCCCGACGACGCCGAGGUCGGCGUCGA